GAGCAUCUCCAAAGGUUUUGGCAAAUUGACUUGCCAUUUGCUGCUAUUUGCAAACUCCCAUAACAAAAUGCAAAGGAUAAAAAUAGGUCAUCUCCAAGGGAUUUGGCAUUUGGACUUGGCAAAGGAUAAAAAUAGAAGGUAUCCAGGCGCGCGCGCUUUCCUCGCGCGUGACUUUGCUCGCGCGAUCGGGUUUGCAAAGUCGUCCACAGCUUGGCAUUUUUGCCAAGUCUGCUCCCGCAUUUGCCAAGUUGGCCAAAUUGCAAACUCCAAAUGCAAAACCAUUGGAUACCUCUUUAGAGCUUUUUGGCAAAUUACUCAAAUGCAAACCUCAAAUGCAAAAUCCUUGGAGAUGCUCUUACAUCUAUUAAAGUCUAUUUUUGUUAUACAAAUUCUAAAAAAUAGUCUCCACAACAAGAAUAGCCAAGUAUUGGGGGUGCUCUCAGUUAUCAAUCAGUGUGAACUCUCCAUUUUCAUAUACCAUAUUAGAUUUUUUUUCUUAGUCAAAUAUUUCAAGCUUUAACCAUCAAUUUCAAUAAAUCCUUUAUUUUAUAACAUAUGUGAAUUAUGUAUUAUGAAAGUAGUUCUCAUGAUGAAUUUUUAAAAAUAAGUCUUAGAGCAACUCCAACCCACCUCCUAAACAAGUCCCUAUUCUAAAUCUAGGGACUUGAUAAAAAAAUCAACUCCAAUCCACCCUCCUAGUUCCUACUUGGUCUUCCAUUUUUCAUGCCCUCUUAAAUUAUAGUUUCAGCCCCUCACAUCUAGAACCCCCUAUCCUACUUGUUUAGGAGGUGGGUUGGAGUUGGGUACAAAUUUGAGCCCCUACUUUUUUUUAUCAUAACAUGUAAAUAAAAAUUUAAGGGCUUAAUUUAGGGACUUAGGCUGACCUACAUAAAUUUCUUAAACUUGAUACUAAAAAAUAAUGUUUAAUUUAGGAUAAAAACUAAUAAAACAUGUAAUAAAAAAAUAAAAGAUAGCAAACAUCUCUUCGUUUCUUGCCCAAAUAAUCCCUUCGACGUACGCCCUUUCAACUUUGCCUUCCUCCACGUACGCCUUCUCUACUUCGCCGUCCGCCGCCACAAACCCUAAUAAUGGAGUCUUCGCGCACCGCUUCGGGCCUCGACCGCAUCAGCGGUCUCUCCGAGGAUCUCCUCGUCACCAUCCUCGCCGGCCUGCACUCCACCGCAACAGCCGCGCGGACCAGCGUCCUAUCCAGCCGAUGGCGCCGCGUCUGGACAAAGGUCCCGGAUUUCAUCUUCCUCGACGACGACUCCUCCCCAGAUUCCGUCGACGCCGCCAUCACCGCGUACGCCGCGCCCGCGAUGGAAAGGUUCGCCGUGGGCCUUGACGAUAUGUCGCGCCCCGUCACCGCCUCCCGCGCCGCCGCGUGGCUGCGGUUCGCCGCGUCGCGCGCGCCGAGGGAGGUCCACGUCUGUCUGCCCUGCAAUAAGGAACCGCCGCCGCUGCCGGAGGACGACGUGGAGGAGGAGCUCGAGGUGUCGAUCUUUGAGAGCACCCUAUGGUUCAACGCAAACUUCGUGUACGACUUCCGGCUCCGGCUACCCCCAGCCGGCGCCGGCGCCGGCGUGUUCGCGGAGCUACGCAUCUUAAGCAUAAAACAAGGCCGAGUGAGUGGCGGCGACCUCAGCCGCGUUGUGUCCUUGCAGUGCCCGUGCCUCUGGGUGCUCGAGCUCACCAUGCUUGACGUCGACGGCGACAUCUCCGUCCGCUCCGACACGCUGGAGAGGCUCGCGCUGCGUGUCGUCGGCGUCGGGAACAGGCUCGACGUCGUUGCCCCGAGACUGGAGUGGCUGCAGGUGCACGGAUGCAAUUAUGAGAAUCCCCUCCUUCUUCUUGCUGUAAACCUGAAAACCCCGAUCUAGUUACUAGAUCGGCUGAUACCAUUGAUAGAACUCUAGCAGGAUCUACUAGCAAUAGAACGUAUGGGAAUUCGGGAUACAAAAACAAUAUAUAGACAGUGACACAUAUAUGCACAUACUCUAGAUCUAUUACAACUGAGUAGAAAGAGAGGUUAGGGUUCGACCAUCGGCGUUCCCGGCGAGAGCGGAUCCGGUGGCGUCCAUGUUGAGGGCGUUGACGCGGUGACGAAGUAGAUCCCGUCGUCCUUCGGGCCUCCACCGGCACUGACCGACGACGGCGGGGUGGGAGAGUGGCGCAGUGGUGCUUCCCGACGCCACUGCGCAAGCCUGAUCGGAUGGCCUAGGGUUUGUCGAGUGGGGUGUGUGCACGGCGAACCUUGUGUCACGUGCCUGCGGCCCCCACUCCUGUUUAUAUAGCGCAGCGCGUCGGGGGCCCACCAACCAUGGAUCGGUUGGGCGCCCCCGAUCAGGGCGCGAUCCAGGGGGUAAGAGGCCCCAGCCGUUGGGCUGGGCCUGAGAUCAACCUAACAUUCUCCCCCUUGAUCUCAACUGUGCUAUCUCGCUUUGUCAACUCACCCCAUCACAAAUCAGUGUAUUGAGCAUGCUUCAUCUUGACAGUUAUCACUGCUAGAUUAGACAGCCACAAACACUUUUCUAUUUAGAGAUGAAUUCUCGCCUUGGGCCCCUUACUAUCCAGGAAUCACAGGCUUUCCCUUAAACCCAUGCCGGCUACAUGUUCUCUGAACACGUUGGGCGGUAAGCCUUUGGUAAGCGGAUCCGCUAGCAUCUUUUCUGUGCUUAUAUGUUCAAGACUUAUGACGUGAUCCCGGAUUUUAUCCUUGACAACAUAAUAUUUUAUGUCAAUGUGCUUGGCUGCAUUGCUUGACUUAUUGUUGUGAGCAUACAACACUGCUGGCUCGUUGUCACAAUACAACUUUAGUGGUUUAUCGAUGCUGUCGACCACCUUUAAACUGGGUAUAAAUUUCUUAAGCCAAUUCACCUGUCCUGAUGCCUCAUAACAAGCAAUAAACUCAGCAUACAUUGUGGACGAUGCAGUGACUAUUGUUUGUUUUGAGCUCUUCCAUGAUAUGGCUCCUUGCGCGAGAGUGAAUAUAUACCCUAAGGUAGACUUUCUAUCAUCUCCCGCGUAAUCAGAAUCUGAAUACCCUACUAUUUGCAGGUCAUCAGAUCUUCUAUAGGUUAACAUGAGCCCUUUCGUGCCUUGCAAGUACCUUAAGACUUUCUUUACUAGAUUCCAGUGUUCCAUACCUGGAUUACUUUGAUAUCUACCAAGUAACCCGGUCACAAAAGCCAGGUCUGGGCGUGUGCACACUUGAGCAUACUGUAAGCUUCCGACAGCUGAAGCGUAUGGAACGGCUUGCAUGCGAUCGCGCUCGAACUUGCUCUUGGGACAUUGAUGUUUCCCAUACUUGUCACCUUUUACAAUAGGAGCAGGUGAAGGUCUACACUUAUGCAUAUUGAAUUUCUUCAAUAUUUUCUCUAUAUAUGCCUCUUGGGACAAUCCCAAUACCCCUCGACUUCUAUCUCGGUGAAUCUUUAUGCCCAAGACAAAAGAUGCUUCACCUAAAUCUUUCAUAUCGAAAUUUGAGGACAAAAAUCUCUUGGUUUCCUGCAUUAGAGUGACAUCACUACUGGCUAGUAGAAUGUCAUCUACAUACAGUACUAGGAAAAUGUAUUUCCCAUUCUUAAACUUUGCAUAUACGCAAUUGUCCUCAACGUUCUCUUUAAACCCAAACUUUCUGAUUGUCUUAUCAAACUUUAAAUACCACUGCCUGGAUGCUUGCUUUAAUCCAUAAAUGGAUUUCUUCAGGCGACAGCCCAUUCUUUCUUUGCCUGUCACAACAAAACCUUUCGGUUGUGCCAUGUAUACUCUUUCUUCUAGAUCCCCAUUGAGGAAAGCUGUCUUCACAUCCAUUUGAUGCAAUUCUAGAUCAAAAUGUGCCACUAGGGCCAUUAUGAUUCUAAAAGAGUCCUUGCUCGAGACGGGAGAGAAUGUUUCAUUAUAAUCUAUCCCUUCUCGCUGAGUAAAACCCUUGGCUACCAGUCUUGCCUUGUACCUUUCUAUGUUCCCUUUGGAGUCACGUUUCACCUUGUAGACCCAUUUGCAGCCUACUGUUUUGGCUCCUUCAGGAAUUUCCUCUAGGUCCCAAACUUUAUUGGUACUCAUAGACUUUACUUCAUCUUCCAUGGCUUCUUGCCACUUAGAUGCUUCGGUGCUCCUCAUGGCUUCUUCAAAUAAAGUGGGUUCAUCCUCCAUCUGAACUUCUUCGCAUUCAUAGACUAUAUAGUCAUCUGGAAUAGGAGACUUUCUCGCUCUUUGAGGUCUGCCAGAAGUUUCUGCUACUGGCAUUUCUUCUUGAGGUUGCUCUUGUUGGGGCUGUUGUUCUUCGACUAUGGGUUCAUUCGGCUCCUGAGGGACAGGUUCCAAAUUAGCCAUAGGCGAAAAAGCAGCAGGUGUUGUCACUACUGGUGUAGAUCCAACAACAACAGGCAGCGUAAAGUAGGGUUCUUGCACCAUGGGAAUGGGCACGAACACCCGCUUCUCUUCAAGGUUAAUUUCUCGCGCUGCCUUGCUCCCCCUGAUCAUCUGAUCUUCUAGAAAACUAGCGUGUCUCGUUUCCACAAACUUGGUAUGUCUACCAGGGCAGUAGAAACGAUAACCUUUCGAAUUUUCUGGAUAGCCAAUGAAAUGACAACUUACUGUUUUGGGGUCUAGCUUUCCUAUGUUUGGGUUAAACACUUUUGCUUCAGCGGGGCUCCCCCAGACACGCAGAUGGUUGACUGAGGGUUUCCUGCCGGUCCACAACUCAUACGGGGUUUUAAGUACUGACUUGCUUGGAACUCUGUUGAGAAUAUGAAUGGCGGUUUUUAAGGCCUCCAUCCACAAACUCAGUGGCAGAGUGGAAUAGCUCAUCAUGCUGCGCACCAUAUCCAUUAGAGUACGGUUACGCCUUUCUGCUACUCCAUUCUGCUGUGGGUCCCCUGGCAUUGAAUACUGGGCUACUAUGCCAUUUUCCUGUAAGAACCUUGCAAAAGGUCCAGGAACUUGUCCAUAAGGGGUAUGUCGACCGUAGUACUCCCCCCCACGGUCAGAUCUUACUACUUUGAUUUUUCUGUCUAGUUGGUUUUCAACCUCAGCCUUGAAUAUCUUAAAUUUGUCUAAAGCUUCUGAGCGUUCUUUGAUUGGAUAGAUAUAUCCAAAACGAGAGUAGUCAUCUGUGAAUGUGAUGAAGGAAUCAAAACCAUCCACGGAUGUCACUGGAAAAGGUCCACAGAUGUCUGUGUGGAUCAAUUCUAGUACUCCCGUGCUUCGCUUAGCGCCUUUCUUUAUGUUCUUUACUAACUUGCCUUUAAUGCAAUCAACGCAUUGCUCUAACUCUGAGAGUUCUAAUGGUGGGAGGAUUGAUUCUUUGACUAAGCGUUCUAUUCUCCCCCUCGAAAUAUGGCCUAAACGACAGUGCCAUAAUUUCGAUGAGGAAUCAAUUCUCUUUCUUUUCUUGCUAGCAUCUGCGGGUAUUGCAUUCUCAGCAUUAUUACAUUCAGCAUUCACAUUCUCAGACAAAGAUAAUAAAUAAAGUUUGUCUUGUCGGAAGGCAAGACCCACACAUUUAUUAUUUAACUGUAGCUUACAAUCAUUCUUGCUGAAAUGGCAAUCAAAACCAUAGUCUGACAAACAUGAAACUGAAAUUAAAUUUCUAGCUAAAGAGGGAACAUAAAGAACAUCAUGCAACUCAAGGGUGAAGCCACUAGCUAAAUCUAGAGAUAAAUUUCCUAUAGCUUGAACUUCAGCUUCAACACCAGUGGCCACCUUAAUCUGUCUUUCUCCUCUUUGAAGGGUUCUCCCUCCACUGAAUCCCUGCAAAGAGUUUGCAACAUGAACAGUUGCCCCUGAGUCAAUCCACCAUGUGGAUCUAGCAUAACUUAGAUAUAAGGAUUCAUCAACAAAAGUUAUAAUGUCCUCACCUUUCACUAGGCAAUGUUUCAUGAACUUAGGGCAGUCAUGCUUCCAAUGCCCUGUCUCAUUACACCAUCUACAGCGAUCCGGGUCCUCCUGCCUGUGUUGGUUGUCUUGCUUUGGCUGUGCUUUAGGCUGUGAAGAGCUUCCUCCCUUGUUCUGGGAGGUGGAGGCAUCUGGAGCUUUCUUGUUGUAGAAUGGCUUCUUGUUCUUUCCUUUCACAAAGUUCACAGAACCACCAUUUGCAUUCUUGAGCCUUUCUUCCUCUUGCACACACAUAGCAAUCACCUUCUCUAAAUCCCACUCCUCUGGCUGUGUGUUGUAGUUAACAACAAAUGUCUCAUACUCUUUAGGAAGUGAGUUUAGAGCUAGGUGAAUGAGGAAACCAUCAGCGAGGGGCAUCUUUAGCUUCUCUAACUUGGCUGCCAUGGUGCUCAUGCUCAGAAUGUGCUCUCUCACACUCCCCCCUGUGAACCUCAUGUUAGUGAGUUUCUGGAUCAGGGUGGAAGCAUGAGCUUUGGUGGAACCAGUGAACUGAUUCUUCACUUUCUCAAGAUAUUCUUUUGCUGUGUCACAUUCUGGGAUUGCACCUCUUAGGCCCUCUGUGAUGGUUUUCUUGAUGACAAUCUUGCACUUGCGGUUUGACUUUUCCCACUUGUACUUCUCAAGAUCAUACUUUGCUCUGAUGGGAGCAAAGUCUCGCUUCCGAUUAGCAAAAGCUUCAUCGGUCUCAUUCUGAGCCCUUUCGGGCUCCUCUGGCUCAGUGGGCUUUGGCUCCUGAAGAGCCAAAUCUAUCUCAGCAAGUGCUAGAGCUGCAUCAAGUUCCUCGCGCCACAGAACAUAGUUCUGCCCCGUCAGCUUUGGGAUUGCACUAAUGAAGUGCAUCGCAUUGAGUGCUUGGUCUGAAAUUAAAUAUGAGAAAAUAGUGAGAACAUCAACAUCUAGGGAAAUUAAUUGCAUAUCUUAAUUUAACGUUGGUCAAAAUCAAGAUAUACAAAAAAAAUUAACUCUGUACAUAAAUUCUAAUCACCGUUGGGCAGAAUAGAAUAAAAGCAUAAAAAUAGAACUUGAAAUUUGCAAUAUUGUUAUUAUUAACGUUGGUCAAAAAAUAACAAUAUCACAAAAAUACUGGGCUUUAAAACUCAUGUCUCAAAUUAAAUAUCUCGUUGGUUCAAUUUAAUAUGAGAACGAAAUAAUAACUUGCGCAGCGGAAAAACAUUAAUUUACUUGCUAUUUUCAGAAGCAUAACUAGCUGACUGUGCUUUCUAAUUAAUAUACACGUUGGUGCAAAUUAAAUAGAAUUUAAAACUGAGCAAAACGAAUAUUUAAAUGCUUCUGAAAAACAAAUAGAAUAUAACAAAAGAAUUUCUGUGCUUGUUGGACCAGGGCGAACACAAUGGCCCACGGCCACUUUCGGCCCAGCAGUGCGCAACGCAGUGCCCAGGGCUGCCUGUUUUUUUUUUUCUUCGCUGACUGGAGGCUCGCGGCCCAGUUAGGCCGAAUUUGGCCCACGUCUAUGCCUCCCAUCGGCGCGGGCACUGAGCAGGCCGCAACCUGGGCCAGCUCGCGCAAAGCGGCCCAGGGCGCCCUCCCGCCUGGGCUCAAAGUCGGUCCAGGGAAUCCUGGCCGUUGGAUCAGAUCCGACGGCUCAGCGUGGAAUUCGCGCAAAUAAAAGGGCUGGCCGCCGCCGCCUCUCCCCAAAACCCUAACUCUUGCUCUCUGCUUCCUUGCUCAGCGCGCCGGUCAGCAGGGAGCCGCCGCCGGCGCUCUUGCUCCGUCUUGCGCCGUGCGGCGCACAGGGAGGCGCCGUCGCCUUGUUCCCGUGUCUUCUCCAGGCCACACCGCGCCGAGCAGCAGUGGAGCCGCACUGCACGGGCCUUGGCGGCCGAACGGCGCCGCCCCGAGCCCCCUCGCCGGUGUGCGCGCUCGCCCUGUGCGGAGCGCGCCGCCGUCGAGCGGCUUCGUGCGCGGUGCCUCGCUUGGCCGGCCACGGAGAGCCGCGCGUUAGCGUGGUGUCCCCGGCCGUUUUUAUUUUCUUUCUUCGAUCUGGAUUUCUCUGCUAUGUUUCUUGUGUUUACUGGGGUUAGGUGUCCCUUUCCCCGAUUUGUGCCUGUUUGGAUCUGGGCGUUAGGGUUAGGGUGGUCUCGGUUUUGACUGAGUUAGGAUUAGGGUUUCGAGAAUCCCCUCCUUCUUCUUGCUGUAAACCCGAAAACCCCGAUCUAGUUACUAGAUCGGCUGAUACCAUUGAUAGAACUCUAGCAGGAUCUACUAGCAAUAGAACGUAUGGGAAUUCGGGAUACAAAAACAAUAUAUAGACAGUGACACAUAUAUGCACAUACUCUAGAUCUAUUACAACUGAGUAGAAAGAGAGGUUAGGGUUCGACCAUCGGCGUUCCCGGCGAGAGCGGAUCCGGUGGCGUCCAUGUUGAGGGCGUUGACGCGGUGACGAAGUAGAUCCCGUCGUCCUUCGGGCCUCCACCGGCACUGACCGACGACGGCGGGGUGGGAGAGUGGCGCAGUGGUGCUUCCCGACGCCACUGCGCAAGCCUGAUCGGAUGGCCUAGGGUUUGUCGAGUGGGGUGUGUGCACGGCGAACCUUGUGUCACAUGCCUGCGGCCCCCACUCCUGUUUAUAUAGCGCAGCGCGUCGGGGGCCCACCAACCAUGGAUCGGUUGGACGCCCCCGAUCAGGGCGCGAUCCAGGAGGUAAGAGGCCCCAGCCGUUGGGCUGGGCCUGAGAUCAACCUAACAUGGAGUGGCUGCAGGUGCACGGAUGCAAUUAUGAGGAGGUGCGCAUCGCCGCUCCUAUCGUGGCGGAGAGGUAGAAUGGGACGACGGUUACGACCCGGCGCGGCACCGCAUCACACAGACCGGCCGCCGUCUCCGCAGGCUGGCGGUGACGCAGUCGACUCCGAUGCCGCCACUGCUGGAGCGGUUCGAUGCUGCGGAUGAACUGAGCCUACACCUCGUCAUUCCACCGGUGAGUUCCUCUUUUUGGUUGAUUCUGCAGCUGAAGAUGUGUGCCAGGCUGCCAUGCAAUAAUUAUUUUGGAAACGUGCACUCGACUCCUAGCAUAUAUAUAUAUAUAUAUAUAUAUAUAUAUAUAUAUAUAUACAACACAUAUAUGUACAAUUGAUUUGUCAAUAUUUAGCCAGUCUGACAAGUUGCUUGUACAUGUCACUUCACAAGCUGAUAUAAUGUAUUCCUUCCGUUUCAAACUGCAAGUUGUUCAGCUUUAACUACAAAAUCAAACAAGAUUAAUUAGAUAUACCAUGGAAUAAUUUUGUUGCUGCACUUAUUUGCUACAACAUAUUUUCUCUGUAAACUUUAUCAAAAGUUCGACUUAUAUAGGACAAAGUUAAAACGAGUUACCAUUCGGAACAUACAGAGUAUAUGUACCAAAUCAUCUAAUCUAAUAAAGUUAAAACUGAUAACCUCACUUAAUUAAUUACUUACUCUGCUAUUCACUUUACAAGCUCAAUACUUUUCCCAGUUAUUGUUUCCAGAAGACUUUCAUAUUCCCUUGACGACAUUGUUUUCCAAACGAUUUGCAGGAGGGUUUUAACAGUUUUCUCAAGAAAAUAAUUGAUCUCUAGGCCAACAACUAACCAUAUAUAUAUAUAUAUAUAUAUAAUUAAGAAAUAGUCAAUGUCAAUUAACCUUUUCUUUUUUACAUAUGGAGCUGUGUUGACGCAGAUUGUAGUGGUAGACUAGCUAGAAUUGCAACAUGAGAUGAAAUUAAAGCAUAAUGUCUUGUUUUAUUGUAUCAUGAUAUAUCUGUUCUAGGGAAUGGAUUUUUCUCUUCAUGCUGGAGCUUUAUCCACUGUUCUUAUAUUGACAGUUCCCAGAUGCAUACCGUAUAUUCCUGGAGAAUACAAGUAAGCUUCCCAAGAGCAAAGCUCUAACAGUGGGGCUAAAAGUACUUGCACAUUCUAUUGAGUCCAGCUUGCUGCGUCUCCUCAGGAAAUGUGAUGGCAUUACCAAGUUGGAGAUUGAGUUGAUCCACCAAGAUGCACCAAAGGUAAGCUUUUCUUUAAUAUGAAUUAUUCAUGGUAUAUCUAUUUCCUGGACACAUGUUACAUUUGUAUGGUUGUUUGAGUUGAGCAUGCGCCAUAGACUGAGCUGUUCUAUUGAUCAGGUGUCACUGUGCAAACUAUUUGGUUGCUCUUGUGUUCAACAAGAGAUGCUGAGGACCGACAACGUGGCCCUCGAUUUCCUUGAGGAGGUAGAAUUCCAUUUCUUCACAGGAUCCGACGAAGACGUAGACCUGGUGAAGCUGAUAUUCAUGUGCAAGGAGACACUUAAAAAGAUGGUAAUCAAUGUGGCUGACGAUGUCUCUUUAAGUGAGGAAGUAUACAAGAAGAUCCAGAUGUUCUCACCCCCAAGUACCACACUUGAGACGGGUGGUCCUUCGUCGCAUAAGAGGGAUGUCUGCCAGUGCAAAGAUCAUGAUUGGUAUUAGUUGAGGGAGUCUGUCAGCUAGUCCUGCAUGAAGAUAUAGGCCGAUAAUUCUGUGCACAAAGACUUGGUCCUGCUCUUUUUAGAUUUAGGCCUUGUUUAGUUCGCAAAAAUUUUCAAGAUUCCCCGUCACAUCAAAUCUUUGGUCGCAUGCAUGGAGCAUUAAAUAAAGAUAAAAAUAAAAACUAAUUACACAGUUUAUCUGAAAUUUGUGAGAUGAAUCUUUUGAGUCUAGUUACUCCGUGAUGAACAAUGUUUGUCAAAUAAAAACGAAAGUGCUACAGUAGCCAAAAAAACUAAAAUUUUGCGAACUAAACAAGGCCUUAGGUUUGGAAGUCCAUUUCUGUUUGCUGGUCAAAUACAAGAGUGUUUCUUUUGUCCUCUGUCGAUUGUCACGGUAAUUAGUGAUGACUUAAUGUUACUAUUGACUUCUGUGUGCUUAGGCUACCUUUUGGAGGGGAUAUUUGCUCGUGUACCAUUCCAUGGUUGUUCCUUUUUAUCAAUUAUCAUGCAGUUUUGGAGCUAUAUUUGCAGGAUUUGAAAGGAUUCGUGUCCCUACAAACUUUGCAAUCCAUAGAAACUAGAGACUCUACCUCACCAUCUUAUACCUAAUUUACAUGUUUAGCUUAAGAUAAAUGAGGUAUAGAGCAUCUCCAAGAGCUUCCAAAACCCACUCCUAAUCUAAACUUCUUAGUAAAAUUGAAAAAAAAAACUGCUCUCCAACAACUCCCUAUUUUUUUUUGAUGGAAACAACAACUCCCUACUUCAAACCCCAAUCCUUUUGCAUUUUGGUUUGGCCUGAUCUUGGUUUGACUUAAUUUUGGCUUUGGCCAGGCCACCACAUGAAGACUGAAUUUUGACCACCAAAGAAAAAAAAAGACAAGUUAAAUUUUGGCUAAGGUCAAACUUUGUCUUUGCUAUAUGAGGACCAGAAACCAAACAGAGACCCAACAGGCUGAAUUCAUGGGCCAACCAACCCAGCGCCCGGUCUUUUCAGUUGCAGGCUCGCAGCACAAGAGCCGUGCCAGGCCUUGAUUAGUUCCAAAAUUUUUUAUAAAAUCGAUACUAUAGCGCCCGUGCAUCCUGGUUCGCGUCGCAGACACCACGUACGACCGCACCUCCCCGUGCUCUCCUUCCGCUACGAAUACGGCCGAACGCGAUCAUCUCGGCACGGGUACGAGCGCACGAGCGUGUAGAUGCCGCCGUGGCCGCGCACACUCCUCGAGGUCCCGCUGCUGCCGCGCUGGGCUCCACAAUCCCCCGUGGCCGUGGACGGUGGAGGGGAAAAGGCUGCUCCGUGGCUGCUGCCUGUUCGCCUCGCAGCGCGUCGCCGGCGAGCUCCGGCGGCCGUCAAGAGCGGCGAGAUCGUGGUUCCACACGUACCGUGCGAGAGGGCCAACGAUCACGUACGCUCGACGUCGACAUGCUCCCGCUUCGGUUCUUCUUCCACCUGCUCGCCGCCGCUGUGGUCAGAUGAGAUUCGCCUUGACUGGGGAUAUGCCAUUAGCAUUAGGCCAGCAUUGCUACAUCUUCUUAACAAAUGUUCUGGUGUCAAAAAGAUUAAUUAUGGUGGAUUGUUUUGCUUGGCGUUGUGUCUUCAGUGUGCAAUUUUACCAUUUUUAAUGCCAAUUUCUAUGGAUCGAUAACACCAAAAAAUGAUGCAGAUUAAAACUAGAAUGACAUUAUAUAAGUGGGGAAAUUUGAGCAUGAGUUUCACACAAUUUUUCUUCUAGGGAGAGUGCUGCGAACUAACAUCACACAUGAUUUGUGAGGUCUAAGUCUGCGAUAAUAAAAAUAUAAAUAGUUCAUUCACAUGUGUAAGAUCCAAUUUAUAUGUCAACUUUUUUAUUUUCUUUCAGGGUAAAUGUGGAUGCAUACCAUGGGAAUGCCACUAGGACAUGGGGAUGACGACAUUGCCUUGGAUUCAAUGUUUUUAAGGCGAUAAAGCGAGGCGUGGCGACAGACUACCACCUUACGCUUAAGCGAGUAAGGCGUAAGGCAAGGCGAUACAGACUAUAGAAUUGGAAGCAUGUCAUAUCUUGGUGUUGUCUUCUCCCCUGCAGUCUGUAGUCCCAAGUGUGCAUCUAAUAUAAAAACAAAUUGUUGUCCAAAAAGAGGCUAAGCACUAAGCAAUAAGCACUGAGCACCAAGCAAAGAAAAUAUAAACAAAUCGGCAUCCCACUAUUCUACUCGAGACAAGAGGCUACAGGCAAGUAGAGAAAAACAUAGCAUCCCACUAUUCUACUUAAUCUGAUCGAGGGAAGACUGGAGGAGGCGGCUUCCUGCUCGAGAGAAGACUGGAGGAGGCGAUGGAGGACCAAAAAGGCAGUGGGGAAACAGCAGCCCGCCAGUGGCUGCUCCUCGCGCAGAUGGAGGACGACUAGAGGAGACAAGCGGGGAAACAUCAACCCGCUGAUGAGUGCUCCUCGCGCGGAUGGGGAAGAUGGGAGGGGAAGGCGGAGCCUUUGCUUCAGGCAGAGGCUCGACAACAGCAGCUUCUCCUAGUAGCGCGGGCGAAACACGAGCGAGCAGGUAGGUCUGUCUUCCCCGCGAGCGCUCCUCUCUGAUUUCUCCAGCGCUCUUCUCUCCAGCGCGCCUAAUUCUCCUGCGCACCCCUCCCUCUGUCUCUGCGCGCGCGACUAGCUUUCCGGCGUGUUUACUCCUUUCUCCCACGAUCUCCCAUGUUUCUCGCCGCCCCGCACAGAACAUACCCCGUAUGGCGCUCGCCUUCCUCGUGGGACGUCCAAGUUGACGUUUUUCGGACGCCAUGCUCAUAAGGUGGACGCCAUACCAAUCUAAGGCGAGUCGUAUGCCAAAACGUCUCGCCUGGAGCGCCUUGACAAUUAGGCGACGCCAAAGCGAUGUGGAAUUCGUUAGGCUAUUGUGUCAAUAUAGUGCAACCUUUUAGAACAAGGUCACUCUUACCCUCAUAGAAAACAAACACAAGAAGUAUAUACAGGAGGGGUUACACAACAUUUGUGUUCCCAAUGGCAAACUUGUAAUCAUGUGAAGUCCACACAGGCCUGCCGGGACCACUGACUGAAGGGAUUCGCCGCUUUGAAGCGGUGAAUUAUGAUGAUCAAUCUACGGAGAUUUUGUAGCCUAUGCAUUAGUUAGUUACAUUACAAAAGAAAACAUACAACAACAAAGUUGGUGGAUAUUGUAUUUUAGUGUCUUUUAUGUGUUGCCAAGGAACUCCCUUUCAGUAGUGCUUUGUAUGAGUUCUUCCUUCUUCUUCUCUCUCUCAUAACUAUUUAGUAGUACAUUUUAUUUGUCAUGUGCUUGUGCCUCUAAUGGCCUCCACUUCGGGUGUGAUAAUUGAUAACAUAUUGAGAAAGCACUAUAUUGAUGGGCAUAUGCACAAACUAAGCGCAAGCAGAAAUAUCUUUUUCUAGAUGAAGUAUAUAAUACAAUGAUUUGAUCUGAACCACGGUCAAAACCAAAGGAUAAACUAAUGUCUGAAUUGAAGUACAGAAUACACAGUUACACAUUGAGCAUUAGCAGAAUCAUUAUAGGAACUAGUAUAGUGUCUGUACUAACGCCACGACUUCAUUUGAGGGAAACAACAGUGGCAUUUCGUCACAUAAAUAGAGUACAACAAAACAGUUAAGAGAGAUUCCAAUUCAUUAGAUAAUUUUCAGUAUAUUAUAGAAAUUUGUCCUAAACAAGCGCUAGUACGUCAUUCACUACAGCUAUUUAGGACAACAAGCGCUAGUACGUCAUUCACUACAGCUAUUUAGUCAGCUAUAAAACAAAAAAUCUCAGUUCUUAAGUUAAACUAAGAACGACAAGCUUAAAGGCUUUAGACAAAAAGUAAGGGCGUCUACAUUUUAAGGGGGCCCUUAUUCUUAAAUCUCCUAGGUAGAAAAGAUGCAGGCGCAAGGAAAGCAGUCUUCUGUUCACCAUGAGUGUUGGUCUGUUAUCUGGAUUUAAAAAAACAAACAAUCAUAAAUCUCCUAGGCAGAAAAGAUGCAAUAAAAAAUUCCAAGAAAUUAUUGAUGACAAUCAACAAAAAAUAGUGGUGACAGUCAUAGUAGAAAAUUAGUGAUUACCUUUGAAGCUGGUACCUCCAAUCGCGAUUCGAAAUCACGGUGCGCUCAUGUCAGUUAUCUGCAUCCACAGUUGACCUCCAAUUGGAACACCUCACUACCUCAAACUUACUUUUGUAAAAACCUAACUCAUCAAGCAUAAAAACCCAGUUAAAAAGGCCAUUGGAAUGAUGCAACGAACGAAGAAGAAUCCAUCCCAUCCCAACCACCUUGCCUCACAACAAAAUAGGAUAAAAAACUAUCAGGAUAAUCGUUGAAACUUCUCCAGUUUGAAUAAAAAGACAACAGGUAAGCAGUUAAUUAUACUUUCUACAGAAAAUAUGAAGGCACAACUAAAUGAUUUACCAGAGAAAGGUCUAAUCCUAUAAUGUUGCACAAUAACAGGGGAGUGAUAUAGAGAGAAAAUACAGAGGAACACCUGACUUACCCAAGUAACUGCAGAUUUAGAGCAUCUCUAAUAACCUUUCUAAAUUUCACUCAUUAAAUCAUUAUUUGGACAGUCAUUUGUAUAAAAAUCGUUUUCUGUAUAUUUUCACUCUCCAACAACUAGUGUAUCUCUUAUGCACACUCUAGAGAGCCAUUCUCGUCUUCUAUUUUUGCUUAGCGAAUAAUCCGGAAUAGAAGAAGACUAUAUUUGGAUGAUUAUUUAGAGCAUCUCUAACAUUUUGGCAAAUGACUUCCGCGAUCUCAUCCAUAAAUUUUUUUAGCAAAAUGAGAAAAACCCUCUCCAAUAGUUUGACAUUUCAAUUCCCCAUCUUUUCUAACUUGGCAUAUCUCUCUGUCUAGUGCGCAAAUAUGCACGUGGGCUCCCUGCUUGGCAUCGGUCUUUCUCCUCAUGCUUAGCGGGGCUCUUCGUUCGCUAAUUAGCGGGGCUCUUCAAGUUAAGAAAAACAGGAGUACAAAUACAGACACAUACAUGUACAAUACAGAUACUUCUGUUCGCGUGCGUCACGAGUUGGGGAGAGGAGUCGCGCGUGAAGGAGACGAGUCACGCGUGGGGCCAUGGGGGAGAGGAGUCGGAGUCACGCCUGGGGGAAGGAGUCCGAGCAAUUUGGUUCGUUUUAUAUGAGUGAGUUUUUUCUCGAAUAUAUAAAAGAUUUGUGAUUUAAGAAGAAGAUAUUUUUAUAACAUAUACGGACACGCUAGGGAUGAAAAAGUAUACAAAAGACACAACCUUUCUAGCCUGAUUACACAUUAUGAUUACUCGCGGACUAAUUCUCUUAGGUGGUGCGCUCCCGCCUCUAUCUAAACGUCGGCGAUUUGCUUGAUCUUGUGAGUAGUUGCGCUCUGGUGGCCGUUUCAUUUCGGAAUAAUCUUGCAUUCCUUUCUUUCUACAGCUCACAUGCCAUGAGGGUGAAGAGGGUGUCAGCGCCCUUCUUUUUCUCUCCAUGCCAUCUCUGUCUCCACUGCUUCCACCAGUCGGUGAUGGAGCCCCACCCCCCACCUGAGCGGCACCGGUCCCUAGCACCGUCAAAGUGGGCCACAAGAUGUGUCAUGGUGAUGAUGUGGUCGAUGGUCUCCGGGUCUUGGUCGCAAAGGUAGCAUUCAUUGUCCGCAUCAAGACCAUGGCAGCUCUUCAUGUCUUCCGGACUUUAGAGAAGUUUAUAUUGGUGCGGAUACUUUUUUAGUGUGACUUUAAAGAAGUUUAUAUCGGUGUAUUAGGGGGUGUAUGGGACUAUUCUAUAAACUUAAUGUGGAGUAGCUCCAUAAAAAUUUGAAGUUUAUGAAGUACUUUUUUUAGGUGCUCUUAUAACUCUACUUUUUUCCUUAAUCAGAGUGCGUAGAGAUAAAACUAUCUGGCUAAAAAAAACAUGAAUCAAAGCUGAAAAAAUAGAGUAGAAUAGUCCCAACUUCCAAACACCCCUUUAUUGCGGUAGAGAUUAUUUUUUAUGGGUGCAUUUAGAAGAGUUCAGGACUGUAGUAGAUAUUUUUUUGAUGUGGCUUUAAAAAUGUUUACAUUGAUACAGUAUAUGUGGUAGACGUAUUGUUUAGUUCAAAAAAAAUUUUGCAAAAUUUUUCAGAUUUUCCGUCACAUCGAACUUUUAGACGUAUGCAUGAAAUAUUAAAUAUAGACGAAAAUAAAAACUAAUUACACAGUUUGGUCGGAAUUAACGAAACGAAUUUUUUGAGCUUAGUUAGUUUAUGAUUGGACAAUAUUUGUUAAAUAGAAAUAAAAUUGGUAAUAUUCAUAUUUUACAAAAUAUUUUGCAAAUAAACAAGACCGUAGAGAUAAAACAUAUUAGAGUAGAGGUAGAGAUUUGUAGGCUGAUGGAGCUCCAUUUAUUUGUCUCCCACGUGAUUUGGCACGUGAAAACGCCGAACGGACAGCAGAGUGAGCUGAACUCCGGCUUCGCACCCAAACUCCCCUACAAACUCGCUCCACCGGCGGCUCCGGCUGCGAACCGCGGCUGACUGCUGCUGACCCCAAGCGGUACCGGCGCGCUCGUCCCGCCAUGGCUAUCCCCACCGCCUUCGCCUCCCCCCUCGCGGUCCGGUCGGCCGUCGGCGCGGCUCUGGCGGCCGUCAUCGCCGCGCGCGCGGUCCGCCGCCGCUCCCUGGACGCCUCGGGCGGGGCCGCCGGCUUCGUCGUCAUGGCGGUCCACAUCGCCUGCGGCUACAGGUACGGGGCGCUGCUGCUGGCCUUCUUCUUCUCCUCAUCCAAGGUAACCAAGAUCGGGGAGGACCGGAAGCGCCGCGUCGAAGAGGAUUUCAAGGAGGGCGGGCAGCGCAACUGGUAAUCCACACUAUUUCUUUUGGGGAAUUUGCGAAUUUCACCCAAAAUUAUCUGCUCUCUGUUUUGCGUCCGAGCUGGGCUAUCACCUGUCAUAAAUCAGACAGGUCCUUUCUCUGUCUGUGUCUGUCUCACCAUUUCCUUGUAACGUGGCCACAACAAUUCCAAGUAUAGUAGUGACUACUAGUAAAAAAAAGGGACAUCCAGUGUUCAACUCACAACGAUGCAGAGAGGGGGAGGGCCUGGUAUGAGUGUUUGCCAAGUAGUACCUACUAUAUUUGUUCAGAGUUAGCACUUUAUGCUGUUUGUCAGCAUGCAUACAGUGGAACAGUAAUUGCAGCUCCAUAAGCCAAAAUGUUAUAAAUUCUACGGAACUUCCCUGCAGGUCUUACAUGUCUAAUUGCUAUGAUGAAAUUGCAUUAUGUGUUGCUUAAUCUGUUUUCUUCAAAUUAUUCUCUUAUUGGUAACAUUCUUUGCUCAAUUCAAAAAACAUACACUGUGUUCUUCCUAGUUAGUUAGUUUAGUUUCUUUUAGUCUUUUUAGUUGCUUUGUAACUGUACUGCCUGCCUUUCUUAAUUCAAUUGCUGUAGGGGUGCAAACCCCUCUAGUUUCUUUCAAAAAAAAAAAAAAAAACACACGACGCAAGUUAAAAACACCUUGUGAACCUCUUCUUUCUUUUCUCAAUCAUACAAGUGAUUGUUUGGCCUGUGAAUGUCACCAGACUUCAUAAAAGAUAUAUCACAGCAGCUGCAGUUUUGUCAAAUUAACCUUGCUGGUGUAUCUUACUAUCUCUUUACAUCUUAAAGGAUCCAAGUUCUAGCAAAUAGCACAAUUGCCACUGUACUGGUUGUGAUAUUUGCACUAUUGACUGGAGGGCAAGAUCAGUGUUUGGACUCAAAUGGUUCAAAGCUUAUAACUGGUAUUAUAGGUGGUAUCAUUGGCCACUACUGUUGCUGCAAUGGAGAUACUUGGUCAUCUGAAAUCGGUGUGCUUAGUAAUGAACAACCAAGGCUUAUUACAACCCUUAAGGUAAGUGUUCUUUUCCAUGUGACAAGAUAUACUGUGUUACGUAAUAAUGUUGUCCUUGUGUUAUCUUUAGUCAUGAUUGUAUAUGUAGUUCAUGCCAGGCUGCAAAAUCUUGCUGCUUUUCCUCAACUGUCAAACCAAUUGUGCAUGGCUUGUGCACCUCCAAUUUGACUGGACAGAGCCACCAUAUUUGAUUUCUGGUCAAAUGAUCUGAAAUGUCCAAACUCCAAAGUCAUGGGCUUGCUACCCUUCUAGCCAUAUCCAAAUUGUUUGUGGCAUUGAACUAACAUAUAAGAAUAAGAACUUUGUCAUCACAUUAAACAAACCCAUAAGAACUAUCACUUCCUCAUCAGGUAAGCAUACAAUAUGCCUACCGGGCCUAAUACAGUACAAAGAUUAUCACAUACAAAAUGCACAGUGCAUGCAUUUCGUAGACAAUCAUGUCAAACCUUUCUCCUGAUGUGCAAAGCUGGGACAAAAAACGCAGACCUUGUCCACUUCCCUAAUUUUAUGUUCAGAUUUUUUCCCUGGUGGGUUGUGCAUUCAACCAUAUAUUACUAAUUCCAAUGUGCUGUUAUGUAAAGAAGUUGAAUUUAAGGUGUAACAGCUCGCUGUAAAUUUUUUUUUUGGAAAGCUUAUCUAAUAUAGGGUACUAUGAUGGAUGAGUAUUGAGAGUCCUUUUCUUUGUGUUGGCACUACCGAUUAUUUACAAUUAGCAUUAAUGGGGAACAGUUGUUUGUCAUACUAAGUUACUAACUAUGUUGGCUACACCAUGUAACAGAUUAUGACUAUUAUUGUUUUCCACAUAUUAGACAGAAUAUUUACUAUUUAAUUUCCAUGUCUUGUAUAGAUUUUACCCCAUUGCAUUCCAAAUGCAAGUCAUUUUAGAUUUGUGUAUAAGGAUUAACAAAGUAGAUAAAUGAUUUUGUUGCCCUUCAUUUAGACUACAUUGUCAAAGAUGGGUUCUUUACAAAUGAUAGUGGUAGUAUUAAUUUAUCUGGGCGAGCAAUGAAUAACAAAAUAGAAACGAGCCUCGAAUUGCUUGGGUGACUUACAUUUAGUAACAAAUUGAGAAGGUUAAAAUGACUUACUUUUGUAACCAGAAGGGCUGGUGAAUUCUCAAAUGAAUAUUACUCUUUUUGUAGUGUUUAUCUGUGAGCUGAUAACAGUAUUGCUCUACAAGCCUGUCAGGAAGGGUACAAAUGGUGGAGUGACCUUACAAGGACUUCUUGCUGCCACAGGAGGAGGCCUUAUCAUUGGUCUCACUUUCGUCGUUGUUGGACUUUUGACUGCUGAAUGUUCGUCUGAUAUGGCCCUCUUGCAGCUCCUAGUACUACCCAUCUCUGCUGCAGCUGGUUUGCUUGGGAGUCUAAUUGAUUCAUUGCUGGGAGCUACACUUCAAUUUAGUGGGUACUGCAGUGUUCGGAAGAAGGUAAACUGUUCUGUGCCACCUUGGUAAUAUGCUAUUGGAGAAAAGAACAGUCUCUGAAAGCCUCGGCUUUAGGACACCUGAAGAUGUUUGGUCAGUGAUAGCUGCAAAGGGCACAAAAACAUUUGUUCAUUUCAUCACCAUGUUCAAAGUAGAAUAUCAAUAGGGCUUCUUCUAUACGUCUGUUAACUGUUCUGAUAUUUGUACAAGACCAGAACGAGUACAUUUGGAUGUUUCAAAUAUAGACAAUCAUUUAGAAUGGUACCAGAAUUUGCUCCUUCUGCAAGCAGGGGUCUCUCUUGCAGUAAAAUAUAUUAACAAGCUUGACUUUGUUUGAAGAUUAAUGACUUUUUAGCAAAUUAUUAUCUUGCAACUUCCAUAUGAUAAUAUUUUAUUGUUGCUCUGUAGGUGGUCAGCAAAAGGGGUCCCACGGUUACAAAGAUUUCCGGGAUGACUAUCCUGGAUAACGAUGCUGUUAAUGCAGUGUCUGUUCUGCUAACAACUGUGCUUACAGCUUAUGUGUGCAUUUACAUCUUUUAGAAACUAUAUGUGAAAUUUUCUCACUUCAUUCUAUUUGUGAAACUAUAUGGAAAUGGAACGGUCUGCAACUUCUCUGUAUUGAUAGAAUUUAUAUUAUGGUACAGAAAGGCUGAUUCACCUCCACUUUGAUACUAAUAGUUCACUGCAAACUUUUUAUAUUCCCAUUGCAAAAAGUUAUCCUUCCUACGGAUUUACCCGCUGUUUUUUUAGGGGUGUGGCAAUCUUUCGGAUGGUACCGAUGCAGUUUUGGAUCCAGUUUUUAGAGUUUUAGCUAGUUUCAUGCCUCUCGUGGAAUGUGGAAUUUUUUCUAAAUUCCAACAUAUAUUAAAUUAUUAUAUAUAAUGAAAAAAUAUUUGUUUGCGCUCUAAACUGGCCCUGAAGUAUAUUCUGAACAGAACAUAAAAGGUUCUGAAGAGUUGAGGGGAGUUUUAGCUUCAAGUCUCAAAGGAGUUCCGAGGGAGUUUUAUUUACAUUAAGACAUUGAUUUUUUAGAACGCUUCGCAUAUGGAAUCAUUAUGUAGCUUGAUCUUAUUAUCUAUGCAGGGACACUAUUACCGAACUGUGCGACUUCUGGAUUUAUCACUGAACAAUGUGUCGUUACAUCAACAUACAAUGAUACAACAUACACGUUUGACUGAUAAGUCAUGAUAGAAAGUACUGUUAGCUGAUUUAUUGUGAGAAAAAAAUAUUACUGAAUAGCUGACAGAUUUGGCUGAUAAACCCAAACGAAUGGUCCAAUGAGAUCAUUAAUCAGCUAUGAGAUUAUUAAUCAGCUAUUGUGAGAGGAGCAGAUGCCUUUGGACAGGCCACACUAUGAGAUACUUUCAAUGACCAUUUGGUUAAUUAAUUCGCCCCAGUGCUGUAUUGCCUAAAAAAAAGCUUUCACAGUUUCCAAAAGAAAAAAGCUUUCACAAGUUCUGGAUCUGGAUUCUUUUCCCAAAUCUUUACAGCUACAGAGAUAUUUUUUUGUAGUCUAAAAAUCUUAUCAGAAUAUAGAUUUUAAAUGAUUUUUAGUUCAGAGUAUAGAUGUCCGGUUUCUAAGUUUGAAGAAAAUCAAGACACAACGUAACCCAAGAGGUAAAAGGUACUAUUUUUCAAGACCCUCAUACUGAGUAUUUUUCAGCGAAUGAACAGUGAUUUACUCACAACAAAUCAACAUAAACAGCAACAUAAUACAAGAGGUAAAAGAUACUAUUUUCCAAGACCUUGCUUGGAUGUGCUCAUAUCUCAAAUAAUCCACAUGUUUAGAAGUAGAUGUGGGUGAAAAAUUAACCAAACUACAAUCUUUGUCUAUUCUAACAUGGAAGUAGACGAGCACAUGUCUUUGGACAGACCACACACUUUAUGAGAUACUUUCAAUGAGCCUUUGGUUAAUUGAUUUGCCCCAGUGUUGUAUUGCCUCAAAAAAGCUUUCACAAGUUCUGAUAUUUUAUUUAGGCUUGACAUUUCCCAAUUUAUCUUUUGGAUUUUUUUUAACAAAUCUUUAGAGCUAUAGAGAUAUUUUUUGUGGUCUAAAAAUCUUAUAAGAUGUUUUUAGAUCAAAAAGAUGAAACCAUCUUGAGAAGUACUUCUAGAGCAAAGAGAUAAUUUAUAUGAAUUUUAGUUCAGAGUAUAGAUGUCCGGUUUCUAAGUUUGAAGAAAAUCAAGCCACAACGGUAACCCAAGAGGCAAAAGAUACUAUUUUCCAAACACGUGUUUGGGUGGACUUUGGAUGAAAAAAUAAUUGAUUUUUUCUUCAAUCCAAUCCAGCACACGUGGAUUCAUGUGAACAUGACUGCAUCUAAACAAACCCUUAAGUAUACAAGUGUUGCUUUUACAUGAUGAACUCUAUGCAAUAAGCGAAUAGCUAAUCACGCUUCCUUCUACCUUGACGUUUUAGACCAAUUCCACUAGAUCCCUAUUCCCCUUUAAACUCAUUAUAGAGGAUUGAAAAAACAUGAUUUGUGCUUAGACCUCAACGGGCUUGACGCGGCAGUUAACACGGCUUGCCUACUAGUGGCGGCGGCACCGAACCAAAAACUGUUCAGUAUGUGUGCGCCAGUCGCGCUAUCAAUGCACACUUUCCAUUUCUGACGCCAUUUGCUUUUACGUCUGAAACAAGUACGUAUGCACUUUCUAUUUCUAUUCUGUUUCUUUUCUCGUGGACAUGUGGCAACCUCCUUACUCGGCACACGUGCGCUAGCAGAGGAAGCGACAUACAUAUGUUGGGGCGCGGCGAUCCUCGCCUGCCUCCCGACCACCGCCGCCGCCGCGCGCACCAGCGUCCUCUCCAGCCGCUGGCGCGGCCUGUGGAAAUGCGUCCCGGCGCUCUCUUUCCACGUGGAGCCAAAGGCGCCGCCGGGUGCUUUUUCCUCCACCGCUAACGCCGUCGACGCCGCCCUCGACGCCUACUCUGACUCCGCCGCGCUGAACCGCCUCGCCCUCGACGUGGAUCCGUCAACCCCAGUGCCACGCAUCGCGCACUGGCUGCGCUUCGCAUCGCUGCGCCACGCCGGCGAGCUCCGCCUCUCCCUCUCGGGCGCCGGCGGCGGCGCCGGCGCACGAGGGAUCUCCACGGGGCACAACAUUCGUAGGCGGCUGAUCAAGCUACCGAUCUACCAGAGGGCGACGGGCAUCGAGCUCGCCAGGAUCAACUUCCAGCUCCGACUCCCAAGUGCCGGCGUGUUCACGUCGCUGCGCGCCCUCAGGAUCAACGGAGGCAAGUUGCACGGCGACGUCGGCCACCUCGUGUCUACGCAGUGCCCGCGCCUUCGGGAGCUCGAGAUGAGCAACGUGGGCGUCGUCGUCGCCGCCGGCCAGAUCUCCAUCAGCUCCACGUCGCUACAACGGCUUGUGUUCAGACAAAUCAGCGGCAUCAGCAAAAAGGCCCGUAUCGUGGUUGCUUCACCAAGCCUAUACUAUCUGGCUUUGGAAAACUGUGGAGACAGAUCUGCUGCAGCUACCAUCGUCGCUCCCAUGCUGGCCGAGCUGAUUUGGAAUCACAGCUAUGACCCUAGCCGCCAUAGCAUCAAGGAUGCCGAUCGCCAAAUCUACAGGCUAGCAGUCACCUGCAGAUCCAACACGGCGUUGUUUCAACGAUUCGAUGCCGUCGACGAGAUGUCCCUCCAUCUGUCCAUGUUGCCGGUUAGUGCGUUUUUUUUCCUUAACAUCAUCAGGGCUUCGAUUAUUAUUCAACCGUAUGUUGGAGCUUGUGUUUGCAAACAGGAUCGGAGGUUGCCACGCAAAAUCCACAUAACCUAAGUUUGGGUUACUUCAUUAAGCUUCCAAAAGGAGGAUCCAAAAUAUAGGCUUGUUCAAACUGAGGGUGCAUUUGGAUAGAAGAAACAUUUUGAUUUCUAAUGACAAUCAUGAUUCAAACAAUCUUUUCUAGCAAAUGAUUCGGAACCGAAAUAUUUUCUUUUUUUUCUUUUUUCAGUUAAUUAUUUUUUGUGCAACAAAUUAAAAUGGUUUGUAUUCAGAUUCAUAUGAUUUUUCUUGAAUCGGAAUCUGUUUUACCAGCCAAACAGUUCUCUCAAGUGAUUCUGAUUCAUUAUAAUCAGAAAUGUUUGUUGAGGCUUGAUCCAAAAUAUUUCUGCGAGGAUCUAGAGCCCUGUCAAACGCGCCCUGAAUUUAACUGGCACACAUUAGCCGCUCCCCUUUGGAAGGAUGGAUUUUUAUUUAAUUUUUUAUAUAUAUUAUGAGUAUAACCUUAUGAGUAUUGGAUAGUGUAGAUAAUUACAAAUCUAACCAUUCAAGAUUUGUAUUACAAUAGUUAAUAAUAUAUGCAUGAGCAUCUCAUAAACUGGAUCAGAGGGAGUAAUUUAACUUAGUGACAAAUCUAGAACUACACUACUGGAUUUGCCUUCUUUGCCGAGAGUCGGAAACCCUCGGCAAAGGCCCAAAAGCCCUCGGCAAAGUCUUUGCCGAGAGCCUGCCACGUGGCUCUCGGCAAAGAGCUCUCGGCAAAGAAGCUCUCGGCAAAGAAUUCUUUGCCGAGAGCCACGUGGAAGGCUCUCGGCAAAGAAUUCUUUGCCGAGAGCCACGUGGAAGGCUCUCGGCAAAGACUUUUUAUUAUUUUUUUAAAAAAAUCUUUGCCGAGAGCCAACUUUCCAGGCUCUCGGCAAAGCUGGAAAUUUUUUUUGUAUAUAUAUAUAUAUAUAUAUAUAUAUAUCACAAAUCCACAUGUCUAUAUCACAAUCCACAUAUAUAUCACACAUGAAACAUAUCGAAGUCUACAGAUAUCACAAAUCCACAUAGAUAUGACAAAUCUAACAUAAAGUUCAACAUAAACCAAAAGUUCAUAACAUAAACCACAAGUCCACAUGAAUAUCACUGCUCGAAGUCGCUAGCGCCUCAUCCCUAGUGCUGUGACUCCGACCCGUCGUCGCCGUGGCCUCCGUCGUGUCUCGAGCCCCCAUCUGGCCAAGCCGACCAGGGUGAGUGCCCCCAGGGUGUGGAGAGCUCGCACUUGCCCAAGGUGCCCAAGGGUUACAGAAAAAGUUUGGGUCCAAAACUCAAAAAAAAUCUUUCUUCUUUGCCGAGAGCCAUUUCUGGCCGUCGGCAAAGGGACUCUUUGCCGAGAGCCUAACGGCGUGGCUCUCGGCAAAGGUGACGAUAACGGAUGUCUUUUCCUGGCGCGGCUCCUUUGCCGAGAGCCUAUCUUUGCCGAGCGCUAGGCUCUCGGCAAAGCUGGCCUUUGCCGAGGGCCUGGCUUUGCCGAGAGCUAAGCCGUCGGUAAAGGCUCUUUGCCGAGGGUUCUAUUUGGCUGUCGGCAAAGGCAGUCUUUGCCGAGAGCUAGCUCUCGGCAAAGCUGGGCCCUCGGCAAAGCUCCCGUUUCCUGUAGUGCUAGCUAUAUUAUUGGGCGUAAGGAGUACUUAUUAGAAACAAAAGAAAAUCAUAGAACUUUCAAAAGACUCCGGUUAACCUCUUUGGAACAAAAGAUUACAACCUAUAUGAGGAAAACUAGCAUGAAUCCAUAGGAGUUUUCAAGGAAACUAGCAUGAGGUCAAACCUCAUCAAAACUUCUCUCUUCAAAUUCAUGUGAUUUUCUUGUUAUGCAUUAAAAGCUAUGUUGGAAACUUUCUUACAUUUUGAAUUCCAGUUGGUUUUUAAAUUUCAUGCAACCCCGAGAUCUUGUGUGUUUUUUUAUAUAUUUCUUGCUUUUGUGAAUGCUAUGUUCCAAACGGCUGUGUAAUUUUCUAUAAUACCCUUUUCUCCAAAUGGGACUACAACAGUAACUUCUUUUUACUUUUACUCACAGGGCGUGCAGGGAUACAAAAAAUUUGUAGAAGGUAUGGAAGAGCUUACCAGGACCAAGGUUUUAGAAGUGAAAGGGCUAUCGACGAAACAACAUCUAGGGCCAGCAAUGCUGCAUCUCCUCAAGAAAUUUACUGGGUUAACAAAGCUUAAGAUUGACCUCCUCCCAGUGAACACCUGGGUGAGUCAUUCUAAUCGAUUUUCUCAUUAUUUGAUUCUGGUCCUAAUUGCCAAAUAAAUAAUUACGGAAACUCUAUAUGUCAGUUGGCUGAAAUCACUAAAUACUUUAGUUGACGAGAACAUUUUGACCCCAUCAGCAAGGUUAGGAAUCAAGUUUGCACUUUUAUCAUGUGGCUUACACACGGUGUCAAUUCCAUUUUUAUUGUUAUCUUUUUAUCUUCACUUUUUGGUGCCACAAGGUCUGGUUAUGACUCGUAAACUGGUAGUAGAUGUAGAUCAAUACAACUGGUAGUGCAAUCCAGUAAGAAAUUUGGGUUGGGUCAUAGCCAAAAUUUUCUUCGGCCUAGCAAGAGCACAAAUACCUGGUUAUUGUGUACAGUACCAUCCAGCUAAUUAUGAUACUCUAGCUAGUCUUCUUCUUAUACUAUAUAUAAUGAAGUCUUCUUCUUAUACUAUAUAUAAUGAUAUGUAGUUCUACCGUGUGUUCAAGAAAAAAAUCACGAUGCUCCGGUAAUCUAAUGACUAAUAAAAAUUAAUAGGAGAUAGUAAAUAACUAAAACAUACUGCUCAAGAGCUGAACUUAAAUUAUGCAUGGUAUAGAAUUGUAAGCUAACCCCGAUGUUGUGUGUGUGUUUGUUUUCUCCUGAAGCAAUCACUAUGUGGUCAUGAUUGUAAAUGUCUGGAACCUGGAAGCUGGAGAACUGACAGUGUCACCCUGGAUUCGCUAGAGGAGCUAGAGAUCAGUAGUUUCACCGGAGCUGAGGAUGACACUGAGUUCCUGAAGCUGCUGUUUGGGUGCAAGAUCAAACUCAGGAGGAUGGCCAUCCACACAAGAAAAGACGUUUCUCUGAGUCAGGAGGUUCAGAAGCAUCUCUGGGGUCUGGCACGUCCACAUUGCAUCAUCCUCGAGUUUGAAACCAUGCAAUUCCAUAGAUGAUGAUGCCAAAGGAGACGAUGAUGAAACACUUCUCUGUAAGUUUCUUCUAUGAACUCGGUAUUGAAUUCAGUAUAAUGGUUAUGAUGAUUCGUGAGUGUGUCGUACGUGGUUUAGAUAUCGACUUAUUUUGACAAAAAAGGAGUUUGUAUUUAAGUCAUAAUGGAAAUAUCAAUCACUUCCUCAAAAAAAUCUAUCAAUAGUUCAAUAAUAAAAGAAUAGUUGUUUUGGAGUAUGUCAAAAGUUCCAAAUGGCUAUCGAAUAAAACCUUAAAAUGUCACUUAUUUAUGGGAGGCGCACUCAUCUUAUUCCUGUCGUGUUUCUACUAUUAAUCCUCUUUCUCCCACGGUCCCACCAUCCCGCCACCGUGGUUCUACCGAUCCGCCACUCACCACAUCGGCUGCACUGCGGAGCUUUGACAAAACCCUAGCUCGCUCGUGGCGCCACCUUCUUCCCCUCCCCCCACCCUGUCCCGACCGCCUCCACUGCCGCAAGGGCCUCUAAACCACCCGUCGGCUUCCCCACUGGCCGGCCUUCUUCUCCCAAACUCCUUUCCUUCUAAGGUCGUCAGAGUUUGGGAAGACAAGAAGAAGAGCCCAUCAGAACCCUAAGAAGCAAAUCUAGGAGGGGGGAGGAGGAGGAGGAGGAGGCCUACUUAGCUCGUAGGCGCCGCGCCGCCGAAGGGUAGAGAGGGAGGAGACGUGCGUGGAGGAGAUGGGGCGCGGGCAUGAGCACAUGGAGGUGGUCAUCGGAGGAGGUCGCUGCUGAGGUAUAGGUCGCGAGAGAGAGAGAGAGAGAGAGAGAGAGAGAGAGAGAGAGAAGGCGUGCAUCGGGCAGGAGAUAAGGCACGUGCGGUGGGGGUGUGCGGACAGGUCAUUCUAAAUGAAGUCUUUACGUUAUUUAUGACUUGAGGGAGUACUUGUCAUUAAAGUGCAAUGAUAAUAUGACUUUCCCUCUUUCCACUCUUAGCAUCUAUACUAUAUUUUUAUGAAUAUAGCACAUCGCGUAGUAUGAGGAAAUGCCGGGGUUUUUUUAGCAAAUUUGAUGAUACUGAUCAUUUGUGCACACACUAUACAUCUUAAAGAUCAUGUAAGACUGUUGUAUUUUUUAUCUUUUUGGUUUCUAAUAGUGUAGAUUACCUGUGUCAGUGUGUUAUUUUUAACUACUUGCGAGAUAUAUAUAUCUUCAGGUUUUGCUGCUAAUACAUGGACUCAUGGAGAAGGAGAUGAAGACUUGAAUCUGCAAUGUUGAAGGACUGUUAGGACUGCUGGGUGUGCUAUGGUGCUACCUACUUGGACUUUUUUUAUCUUCUUAAAGACUUGAAUUGAAGGGCUGAUGCCUUAUUCUAUUAUGUAUCAUUAUGAGUUGCUUCUGCUACAGUUUGAAUCUGAGAACUGAAAAUCGUAUUAUUGUGUGCUAAACUAUCGUCUACCUGCUUGCUGUCAUAAUGUCUAAUUUGUAUUAUAUAUUGUGUUGUUAUUUUUUGCCUUCAAAUAGCAAAAAUGCUGCUGAAAUUUGCUACGAAUUCUGUUGUUUUUUGUGGCUUUUAGUCUGGUCCGGUUAGUUCGGUCAUGAUGCAGACCAAACCAAAUUAAGCAAGACCGAAUGUGCUCGGUCCUUGAUUUUUAAACUGGCCAAUUGAUCCCCCCAACUUUUCAAAGUAAAUAGGAAUCGAUCGGUUUGGUUCGGUCUCAACAAAUGCCACGGCUAUUCACAACUCACUACUCUCAUCCGAGCAGCACGGGCGGCCCAGGACUGGCGCGCGCCACGUGGCGUCACCGUCCUUCCACGAUGGUGACGGUGACGUCGUUGACGGUGCAGGUUGACGACCACUCGCCGUCGGUGGACGCGGAGCCCCGGUCGGUGGCGGUGCAAUAGCCCGGGUGCCUGGGCUGCGGGAGCACCGCGCCCGGGUUGCCGAGCGCCAGGAACACCGCCGCCAUGUGCGGGCGGUCGUCGGGCCGCUCCUGCACGCACAGCAGCGCCACCUGCACGCAGCGCAGCACCUCGGAGCUCCGGUGCGCGCCGGCACGGGCCACCGCCUCGUCCAGCAGCGCCAGCGCGUUGCCUUCCCUCCACAGCUUCCACGCCUGGCUCAGCAGGCUCGUCUGCUCGCCGCUGCUGUACAUGCCCCGGUUCUUCCUGCCGCUGAUGAUCUCCAGCACCAGCACGCCGAAGCUGAACACGUCGGACUUCACCGAGAACACGCCGUCCAUGGCGUACUCCGGUGACAUGUACCCACUGUGUGUGUGCAUCGUCGUGCCAAGAACAGUUCAGUAACCAACAAUUGAGGUACGUGGAAAGGAGAAAAGGGGUUGCCGGGCGUGCUUACUAUGUCCCGACGACUUUCCUGGUGCGAGAGUCGGUGUCGUCGCCGAAGAUCCUGGCCACGCCGAAGUCGGAGAUCUUGGGGUUCAUGUCCUUGUCCAGGAGGAUGUUGCCGGCCUUGAGAUCCCGGUGGAUCACCUUGUACCGGGAGUCCUGGUGCAGGUACAGGAGCCCCCGUGCGAUGCCCAGGAUGAUGUCGAACCUCUUGGACCAGUGCAGCUGCGAGGAUCGGUUCUUGUCUGCUCAAACACACACAUAUAUAUAUCACAUCGUCGCAUUAGUAAAAAGAACUAAUUCGAAUGUGAAAUGCUCAACAGCUCAAGACUUGAAUUCUGAAUUGAAGUUAGCCAGCCGUGUUACCGAAGAUGAAGUUGUCGAGGCUCUUGUUCUCCAUGUACUCGUACACCAGAAUCCUCUCCUCUCCAUGGACGCAGCAGCCCAGGAGCCUGACCAGGUUCACAUGCUGCAGCUUGGCGAUGAGCAUCACCUCGUUCUUGAACUCGCUCAGCCCCUGCGUCGAGUACUUGGACAGUCGCUUCACCGCCACCGUCUGCCCUCCUUCCAGAUGCCCCUGAAUCCAUUCCAUCGUUCGCAUCAGUCAUCAUGUUCAGUUCAAACCAAUUUCCACAUGCAUGUUACAUGAUGUGUUCUUGCCACCUACCUUGUACACGGGGCCGAAGCCGCCUUCUCCGAGCUUGUUCCACGCCGAGAAGUUGUCAGUGGAGAAAGCUAUGGCGUCCAUGUCAAAGAGCGUGACGUUCAGGUCGCUGUUCUGACCGGCUUCGUCCUCCUUGCCUUUGCUCCUGUCUUGUACUUGGACCGGAGCAAGAGGGACGGUGGAGUCAAACGAGUUGAACCUCUGCGCGCUCUGGAACCUCCCUGGAUUACAGUUUCAUUUCAGUCGCGGGAUCGGAUUAGAUUAGCACAUGGAUUUGCAGCAAAAACUGUCGUCAAUUUCUCCCUUGUUUGGGAAAAACUGGUGGCUUGGGCUCACCUUUGUUUCUGAAAAACUUGAUCCAGAUGAAGAAUCCGCCGAAGCCGAAAAGGAGAAUGGCCGAUAAGCUUACGAGAACGGCGACGACUAUGUUCUUCUUCCUGGAACCGUCUCCAUUGGAGGCUGUCGACAUCAUCGUGGAAACGUUUUAGUUGGUUGAGCUAGGCACAUUGAUUUUGUCGUACUGUAUGUAUGAACUUUGCACACCAACUGCUGCUUCUGCUACUACCAAAUGAUUGACAAAGAGCGCUAUUGCUUUGAGAGAAAGACACCCUAAAAAAAACUCGAUAGGUUCUUAAAUCAUUACUGAUUGUUACGUAUUAACCCUUGCAACAUGCAUUUGCUUGUGAUUCAGGGAGACAAAACUUGUGCCGUUGGCAUGUAUAAGAAAACAACUCUGGUGUGGUAACCUAGCUAUAUUUUUUUUUAUUUCUAAUUAUAUACAGUCACUAAUGUUGACUAUCAAACAUAAUUGAAAUUUGGCCCUUCCCUCCCUUGGUUUUACUUCAGGCUACACAAUAACUUGAACGCGCCGAAAUGUUUGUUAGUAAGUUCAACUAAACAUGGGUAGUAACAUAAAUGUAGAAAACGAUAAUCUACGUGAAAUAUCAAGUCCGAAAUUGAAAACGACCGGCGCUAACUCGCAUUAACCUUAGGUACUUGUUCCUGAAAGCAACAUUUGCCAAUAAAAGGUCCGGCCAAUCUAGAUUUUUGGUAGACGACUGGUCAAUUCAGGCUUAAAGAUGCACUUAUUAUCUAUAAUUUAAUGAGCUUGUUCCUCAUGGUACAAGUAAUAGAAUAACAGUUAGAAAGUUUAUGGGCCAUGGUUAAUAAUAUUUCUAAUUAAUUCUAAAACAUCUUUCUCCUAUAUUCCUUAAAUCUGUAGUAUAUAUAGGACUCAUCAAAAGUAUAUAUAAAUGGUUUGUGUUUUCAAGAAGAUUUCAUAUGCCUUUAAAGCUCCCUUUCUGUCUAGGUUCACUGGGUUUUUUUGAAAAGAAAUUCCAUCUUGAUCACCAUCUAACCAAAAGUAUUAAUUAUUUAUUCUUCCAAAAUCAAAAUUGUCAUCCUUCACUUGAAAAGCAUGAUGUCAAUCAACAAAGAGUUGAAAAGAGAUGAGCUGAGGAGAUUCGUACGCAGAUCAGAUGCCGCGAGGCGAACGUACAGAUCCUGGCCACCGGAAGAGAAAUGCCUGAUGUCAAUGAGCAGCGAGCUCCAGAUGAUGCAGCCGCUGUCGCCGCCCUUGAUGUUGGAAGCGGCGUAGGCCAGGCAGGAGCAGUUGGCGAGGCACCUCUGCCGGCACCGGUCGACGGUGAUGGCCGCGUCCUCCGUCGCGUUGGUCGUGUCCGGCAGCUUGACGCCGCGCAGCUGCAGGAAGCCGUCCCCGGUGCAGUUGAGCGGCGUGACGCGCCUGCACCCGGCGGAGCUGUCCCUGAGCUCCCAGUCCCGCGGCGACGCCGGCGUGAACCCGUGCACGCAGGCGCACGCCGGGGACCCGCUGCUGGUGUCGCAGACGCCGAAGUCGCCGCAGUGCCCGUAGUUGUCGCACUGGUCCCGCGGCAGCGACCAGUAGAGGCUCCACCCCUGCCCGCCCUCCGGACACACGUAGCGCUGCACGCUCGACUGGUUCAGCACGAACCGCGACACCACGCCGCCGCUGCUGUUGUCCACCAGGAACGUGUAGUAGACGUCGCUGGCGUUGUCGACGAACUGGAAGAGGAAGUUGCUGUUGUUGGGCUCCAUCUCCGGCUCGCCGCUGAACUGCAGCCCGUUCCACGGCCCGUUCCGGUACACGGGCGUCGUGUCGUCGUCGCGACGUAUGAACCCUUCGGGGACGCCGCGGAGGUCGAACCCGAACGUGUAGUCGCCCGGCGACGGGUCGCCGGGGCUCCGCCACGUCGUCAGGUAGCGGUUGAGCCCCGUGGUCAGGUCCCACCCGAGCUUCAUGCCGGGGAGCAGGGUGUCGGACGGGUAGUCGAAGCUCUGCCACAGGACGGCGCCACCAGCGCCUUGAAGCACGAAGUUGCCGCUGUCCAGCAGCUGCGCCGCCACCGGGCCGGCGGCGGCGCCAGUGCCGCUCACGUUGGACGACCAGAACACCUGCCCCGAGGAGGCGUCGGCGAGCACCAGGCUGCCGGUGCCGUUGAUGGCGAGGCUCGCCGUUGUGGCGUUGAUCGGAGCUUCCCGGUUGGCGACCCAGACGACGGUCUGGGGAGCGAGGCCCAUGUACCAGAUGCCCAAGAACCUCGCCGUCGAGCUGACCGGGGUGAAGAAGCCCAGCUCGAACACUCCCGUGGCUGAAACGAGCGUCUGGCCAUCGCUGAGGGAAGAGUUGGCGGCGAGGGUGUCAGCCGCGGAGGCGGAGGAAGGGGAGGAGAAGAAGAAAGUAACGAAGAGGGGAAGCAGCAGAGCUAAUGGUGGCCGCGCACCCGCGGCCAUGGCUCUCGCCACGCCACUAUUCAGCCAGCACAGGCGACGAACUCAACGACGCACCCCUCGGGCCAGCCAACUAUGACGAGGUGGAAUGGAAUUCUACCCGUCAGCACUACAAGUUUUACCGGGAAGGGAUGCUUGUGCAGACGGCAAAUCCAUUGAACUCUGUCUCACCUGCCUCGCCUGCAGCCUGCUUGUGCGGAACGUUCGUGCGCAUGCGCUUUUGCAUUUCAACGUGCGAGGAUCUAGAAGCUGCGGUGGCUCUGCGGAGAUGUGGGUGCUGAUGGUGAUGUUUUGAGACAUUCUGAGUUCUGACACGGGUAUGUUUUCUUCCCCGACGGGUCGACGGCGACCUCUGGUGUCUGGAAGCAGAGUCUCAUCCGUUGACGAAACGAGGACUUCGGGGGAAAAAAAAAGAAUGCGUUUUCGUCUCCCUGGCGGUUUUAGGCGGCAUCAGCAUCACGGCAGUCGGAACAAAACUUUUUCUACUGCCGCCUACGGGUCAAAGUGAGCUACGGAGUAAAACCGAUACGUGGUUGCGAUUCAUAUGGGCCUACCCCAGUAGUCCAGCCGUAGUCCAGUACGGGGUGUGCUAGAUCCAGAUGUCUGUCUGCCCGAUGCCCCGAUACGGUCAAACGGCACACAACCAGUUGAAUACCAAAUAGGGUAGUCUUCGAGUUCGACAACGCCGGUGAGCUCAUUCUGUGAUGAUGCCCCCCCCCCCCCCCCCCCCCCUGAGGCUUUUAUUGAUUGAUCUUAAUUAUAUAAGGAACUAAUUAGUUAUAUCUAUAAAGGGCAAUUUAGUCAUUGUAGUUUGGAGAUCAAUGACCGACAUACAUCCUCCACCCACCGUCUCCAGAAAAGUAUCGUAAGUCAAAUUUUAUAAAAUUUAAUCAAAUUUAUAAAAAUAUAUAUCUUCAAAUAUAUUAACAUAAAAAUAUAUUUUAUAACAUAUCUAAUAAUACUUAUUACAUAUUAUAAAUAUUAAAAUUUAAAUUGCUUAUAUUAUUUUAUCAAAGUUAAGAUUGAGUGACUCUUAGAAGCGAGAAUAAUGUGUCUUCAUGGAGAGUAUUUUGUUCUCCAUCAAUCAAACAAACCUAUGGAACAAUCAUAGGUCACGAUCAACUGGGAGGGAGUCGUCAGUCGCCGCCACCGCUCGCCUGCUGCAACUUGUAGAGAUGACAGUGAGUUGGGUAAGAUAUGGAUGAACUAAUAUCUACAUCUAUAUAUAUUCUAUAUAUCUUAUAAUUCUAAACAUUACUGUAGUUCAAUCUUAACAUGCAAGCUAUCCACCUCACUCAUCCACUAUCAGGCCUUGUUUAGUUGGAGAGAUAAAAAAAUUUAGUUACGGUAGCACUUUCGUUUUAUUGGGCAAUUAUUAUCCAACCAUAAACUAACUAGGCUAACAAGAUUCAUCUCGCGAUUUACAGCUGUGCAAUUCAUUAUCUUUUUUACAUAUAUUUAAUGAUCUAUGUCUGUGCCAUAAGAUUCGAUGUGAUGGAGAAUCUUAAAAAGUUUUUAAGUUUUGGAGUGAACUAAACAAGGCCGCAGAUGCUCUUGCAGGAUUUGCAGUGUGCAAGUAGAGGAUCCUAGUAGAAAUAAGUACCUAUCUUUUACUAAAAAAAAGUACUUAUCUGGUGUCUGUUGAUAUAUUUUGGCCUUGUUUAGUUCCCAGAAAAUUUUGUAAAAAUUUUCACAUUCUCUGUCACAUUGAAUCUUUAUACGCAUGCAUGAAGUAUUAAAUAUAGACGAAAAUAAAAACUAAUUGCACAGUUUGGUCGAAAUUGACGAGACGAAUCUUUUGAGCCUAGUUAGUCCAUAAUUGGACAAUAUUUAUCAAAUACAAACGAAAAUGCUACAGUGUCGAUUUUAUAAAUUUUUUCGGAACUAAACAAGACCUUUAUGUGCAUUUCCUUGUAGAAACUGUGGGUAGCAUCUAAUUCUGUUCUUGCAUUGCGUGUGACUAUAGAGAGACAUUGAUUCGGCUUCGAGCGAGGCGAACAACGGCCGUUGCCCGUGUCACACACUAUUUACUUUUUCUCCUUUUAUUUUAUCUUAUUUGUAUAUUAACAUACCAUUUUUUCUUCUGUAGUAUGAAUAUAUUUUUUUAGAAUUAAAAGUUUGCCCGGAACAAAUUAUUUAGAAAAAUGUUGGACAACAAAACUUAUGUGUACAAGAUAUGUUAUCUGUAAAAUUUAUUUUAUAAAAACUGUGAUAGAAAAGUUAUGUUUGAUAGAUAUUAUGAAUAUAAGUUGGGUUGCACAAGCCACAAUAAGGUUUUCACGAUAAAUUGUCUAUAAAAAGGUUAUGAUAGAAAAUUCUGAUGACAAGUUUUAUCAGCAAAAUAUUUUGCACAAAAGUUAUGAAUAUACCUUUGUAACUAUGUAUCUAAAAAAUAAAAAGUUGUGAAAAUAUAUUAAAAAAAGAAAAGUCAUGGGUUGUCUCAACGUACAAGUACAACCCAAUGGGAUGUAAUAAGAACAAUAAUAAUCUUUAUCCAGUAAUGUCGUGUGUAAUACAGAUUGGGCCGCAGCCCAUAAGAGUCAGAACGAGUCUUGUUGGGCUUAGGACACCGGAAAGGUCCACAUGGAAGCCCAAGGCCCCAGGCACUGCAAAGCCCGCUUUUCCGUUUUCCUUUUUCUGCGGAGUAGGACACCAUUUUUUGCGUUUUGCCUCAGAGUCGACACAGGGCCAUCUGCCAUGUACUCUGUUGGAGGCUCUGAGCAAAGGAAGACUCUCAGUAAAGCACUAAGCACCUGGCGACGUGGUAUGGUAAUGGAUAUGUACAGCUUCGUCCAAUGCAAUAUUUCCCUAUCGCUGCAUCCUAUUCCUGUCAAGCCUAGCUACCUCCCAUGCAGCAUUGUGACGGUGAGGUCACAGGCGGAGUAGGACUCAUCGACUCUCUCCGGGAAGAUCCCGUCCCUGUCCGACGACGUGCACUGCAGCGUGAACGUCGGCGGCUUAGGCAUCGGCAGCACGGAGCUGUCGCUGCCGAGCGCCAUGACGACGUAGGAGAUGUCCGGGCGGUCGCACGCGUGGUCCUGCACGCACAGCAGCGCCAUGUGCACGCAGCGGAGCGCCUCCCGCACGGGGCACGCCGGCAGGAUGGCCGGGUCGAUGAGCUGCUCCCCUCUGUCGGCGUUCCAGAGCUGCCACGCGUGGCCGACGAUGUUGAGGGAGCCCUCCAUGCGGUGGAAGCUGCUGUUCUUCUGCCCGGAGACGAUCUCCAGGAUGAGGAUGCCGAAGCUGUAGACGUCGGAGCGCACGGAGAAGAGGCCCUCCAUGGCGUACUCGGGCGACAUGUAGCCCAGCGUGCCCACCACGCGGUUCGUGUUCACCUGGUUCUGGUCGCCGCCGAAGAUCCGCGCCAUGCCGAAGUCGGAGAUCUUGGGGUUCAUGUCGCGGUCCAGCAGGAUGUUGCUGGCCUUGAGGUCCCGGUGCACCACCCGGAGCCGCGAGUCACGGUGGAGGUACAGGAGGCCACGGGCGAUGCCCUCGAUGAUGUGGAACCUCGUCUUCCAGUCCAGCAGCCCUCGCCGCGCCGGAUCUGCAGUCCAUGCACCGUCACCGUCAGUCAGUCAGUCUCUCUGCAGAUUGUUUUCUGCUCACUACUGUAGAACAGAGCUUUGCUGUGCAUGUACGAGUGGAUUUGGAUCGUACCGAAGAGGAAGGCGUCGAGGCUCUUGUUGGGCAUGUACUCGUAGACCAGGAUCUUCUCCUCCCCCUGGAUGCAGCAACCUAGCAACUUCACAAGGUUGCGGUGCUGCAGCUUGGCGAUCAGGAUCACCUCGUUCUUGAACUCCUCCAGCCCCUGCCCUGAGCCCCGGGACAGCCUCUUCACCGCAACCUCUUCGCCACCGGGAAGUCUUCCCUGUAAAUAAAAUAACCAAAUUUAGCAUCUUGACAUUGUAACACUGCUACUACUACAAUCUGACAUACUUCAGUAGAAAACAUUGUAAUUUUAGCUCAUGUGUGUAGUCAGUGUAGUGCUUUUGCGAUGUGCUCUUGAAUUAAUGUAGUACCUUGUAGACAUGGCCAAAGCCUCCCUCUCCAAGCUUGUUGUCGGCGCUGAAGUCGCCGGUGGCCGCUGCAACCAUCUCCAAGGAGAAGAGAGGCAGCUCGCACUUCUUGCCGCCCUCUGCUUCCUCUUGAUCAACCUGUUUCGGCCCUGAGAAAUCCUGCCGUGCUUCCCUCAAAGGAAGCAGAGACGGCUGCGUUGUCGUCUUUGUCUUCUCCCUACCAACAAUGCCAAGUUUCUCUGCACAAGAUGAACCGCGCUUGCCAUGAAUAACGAGCUCAAGCCUCCCUCAAGGUAAAACUAGCUGAAAAUUGUCACACUGCACGAUAAGGCAGAUUUUAAAUUGCACCUUUGAUUCUUCUCCUGCAUUUCCACAGGAGAAGGCCGCAUCCUGCCAAUACAACCACGACGAUAACUACAGCAACGGCAACUGUCGUCCAUCGCCUUCUUCUGGAGCCCGUCUGAUCUGUGAAAGGCAACAGAAACAAUUGUCAGCAAUUUGCUACUGUCAGGUAAGUAAAUUGUUUAAUAAUACUAACAUAAAUCGACUUCAGUACUACAGUAUGUUACAGCAGAAGGAAGCAGCAGCUAAGAACGAACUGGUCAAAGUUUGAAAGAGUUGUUUUCUGAACACUCUGUGUGCGUUCAGACCAUUUGAUAAUUUGAUAUACAAGGUCAGACAUGUUGCCUCAUUAAUAAAAGGUCAAAACAUGGUGUGCUUCACAUGGUUUCUAUGAGCUAACUGCAAUAUAAUAUAGUUGAACCUAACAAUCCACCUCAUGCAUGGCAUGGCUUUCAUACAAAAAGAUUAGAAAGAGGAUGAGCCACAUGUUAGGUCCUUUUCAUGAAACCAUUUCUUCUCCCUUAUCUCGAAUUUUGUAGUUGUUGGAAUACUUUAAUGACCUGCCAUUGUCAAAGUACGUAAUCUUUAAGCCAACAUCCAAAACCAAUGGUCUGCUGUCUGCGUAUAUUUAGAAGUCGUUGUCGGUAAAAUUUUAUUUUCGAGGUUGAAAUAAACGAACAUUUACUGACAUGAUGAGUCUUGACGCAUUGUCGAACAAAGACAGGUAAUAAAUCCCUAGAGAUGGUGUGAGUUAGUGGGUAUGACACCAGCAUCUGAAAAAAGCAUAUGUGCUUCUACCAGAUGAUUCUGACCGUUAAUUCAGAAAAUGAGCUAGAUAUAUAUAUAUGCUAUGAUUUUUCCUAGAGUGAACCGGUCGCCAGGCUCGGAAUCGCUGUUCACGAGUCCAAGUUUGCAACCAUCUUCUACACGGCUAUUUUGGUGAACCCGCACCACCCAAUGGACACGCAGUUUACACUGCUCACUGCUACUUUCCUAUGGCAUUUCUCUACGACUACACGGACUCCUGGAAUCGCAUCCCUAGCUAGAAGACGACCCAGCUGCCAUGCCCAUGCAUUGUUCUUUCUUAAACCCAUUGGCUUGACAUUUAGCUCAGUCAAUUUGUCAGUUCUUGCAACAACCAACAAACAAAGAAUUAAAAAAUAACAUUUUCUAGAAAAAAGAUUUCAAAAUUACUUUUUUACUACCAAACAAACAAAUUCCUUUGACAACAACUUUGUACGUACGUAUCCCAGAGCAGCAAAAAUUAAAGAACCUACUCGUACGUUGUUCAAUCAUAGCCGAUUAACCGCGCAUGCAUGAAUGGAGCAAGCUAGAACAUGUAAGGACCUUAAUUACCUAGUAAGUAUGCAGGGACCUUGAUCUGCAGAUCGUAUCCUUCUCCAUCCGGGAACUGGUAGAUGUCCAGCAGGUCCUGUCCCCAGGUGAGGCAGCCGGUGCCACCGCUGUAGCUGUACGCGCCGCACGAGCAGUUGGCCAGGCACGACUGCUUGCACGCGUCCGCGUCGCCCACCGUGGAUCCCCACGCCGCGAAGUUGGGCAGCUUCACGCCGGGGAGGUCGGCGAAGCCAUCGCCGCCGCCGCCGCCACUCACGUUCGCGUCGCUGCUGCAGGCCAGCGGGGAGCUCCUGACGCAUCCCUGCGUCCAGUUCCCGUUGCCGUACUCCGACACAUUCCUCGGCUCGAAGCCUGUCAAGCAGGUGCAGACGGCCUGCUGGCCGUCGUCGCCGCCGCCGCCGCCGGCGCACCGGGCGUUGGCGCCGCACAUGUUGUAGGCCUGGCACGGGAUGGUCGGCUGCGACCAGACGGUCUCCCAGUCGCCGGUGUCGAGCAGCAUGUAGCACGUCUCGGUGCCGUUGGAGUGGAGCAUGAACCGGUACUCGGAGCUGUUGUACGUGUUGAAGACGUAGGACAUGACACCGGAGUCGUUGUACGGGUCGCCGUUGAGCUUGAAGCCGUACACGUAGAGCGACCGCCAUGGCACGCCCACGAAGUUGGUGUUGGCCCACUGCCCGGACCGCCAGUAGGUGCUGUUGGUGUUCUCGCCGCCGGUCCGCCAGAUGUAGAGCUGCGCGGAGCCGAGCGGGUCCUGCCCCAGCGUGAAGUCCCCGGUGCCGGGAUCCCCGGGGCUCCGCCACGACGUGAACAGCGUCCGGCGGACGGCGGACCUGUUGGUCCGGUCGAGCGUGAUGCUCAUCCCGGGGAGGAAGGUGUCCGCGGGGUGGUCGAAGCUCUGCCAGAGCACCGUUGCGCCCGCGGUCAGCUGGAGGUUCCCGGUGUCGAGGAGGGUGAGCGUCACGUUCGCCGGCGAGGAGGAGGAGGAGGAGGCCGUCGUCGCGGAGUUGGUGCGCCAGACCACGCGUUCGCCCUCAAGCACCUGCAGCUCGCCGGCGUCCGUGACGGUGGCCGAGUACGACGAGCCGGCGCUCACGGGCGCGUCGCGGUUGGCCACCCAGGGCACGGUCUGCUCGUUGGACUGCGCGUACAUGACGCCCAGGUACCGCCGCGACGGGUCGGCGGCCCCGGUCGGCGUGAAGAAGGCUAGCUCGAAGGUGCCGUCUGACGACACCAGCUUGUCGCCGGCGCCCAGCGAGUGCCCCUGCGACAGCGCCGCCGCCGCGUCCACGACGUAUACGCCGGCGCCGUCCCGCCGCGCUUGCGCGCUGAAGAAGACGAGCAGGGCGAGCGCUGCCACGGCGGCGUGGGCCAUCGUCAAUGUAAUGUCGGCGGCCGGAUAUAGCUAAGCUACGCUAGCUAGGUGGCUAGCUCGUGGUAAAUGAGGGAGAGAGAGGUGAGAAGAGAUGGAGGAUGGCGGGAGAUGAUGGAUGUCUAGCUGCCGCUGCCGCCGCCGCCGUGUAUAUCAUGAAGGUGGGCGCGCGCGGGAGCCGCGCGUGGACGAAACGGUUAAUUGAUUAGUAGUGCUUGGUUUUGAUUUGAACAGUUUAUGCUAGUUAAGCAGCUGAUUGGGUGAUUAGGAUUGGAUUGCCGUGGCUGGCGCGAGCGCGGCUAACUAGGGUGAGCAAGUAAAGUGGCGUGGAAACGAAGGGGCUGCGAAGGCCGGCGGGGGGUUCACACUGCAAAAGGUAGUUGAAGACUGCGUUGCGCGCGCGCGCGCGCACGACGGCACUAGAGACAAAACAAACAGCAUUUGACCUGCGAUUAGUAAGCAACUGACGGCCAAAUGGCGAUUUGGUGAUUGGUAGGUAGGUUUAGUGUUAUUGGAUUGGAUGCGAGGUCUGAUCAGUCGUGGUAGUUAGUUUAUCCGACGGUCCUGAUCAGCUCAGUUGCGGUCGGUCAGUAAUCUUUGUGUCAAUUUCUGCAAACAUGGGUUAAUUAAUCUUACUACUACGUAUUGUCAUAUCGAUCGAUGAUGGUAAUUAAGGAGAAGCUUCGUGGAUAAAAGGAACAAAGAAAAAGGUAGCAUGAUGAGAAGGGACACAGACGAAUAUUAGCUUUUAGGUUUCGUGUGCAGUCCUUUCCUAGCUAAGUCGCUGACUUUAGCCAUCGUCGUCCGCGCCGGCCGGCUAGCCGGCGAAGGAUUCUGAUGCUCGCAGUGCAAUUCGCAAUAAUCCAGUGAAUGAAUCCAAUCCACGGAACCAUAUAUCCUAGAACGGCGCCGGCGCUGGCGAAUCCAGCAGGCGCGCACCACGGUUGUGAACGAAAUGCACUAGCUAGCUUGUUUUUGUUUCCUUGCGGGCAAAAGAUCGAGAAGCAGGCGGCGGCCGUUUCACUGGCAACAUCAUCGUCGAUCCGUUAUUCUAGAACCGAUGCUGCGCUUUGCCGACGUGUCUCUGGUCUAGGAUGAUUGGGCCAUGCAUGGCGCCACCAAUCUGCCUAAUCAUUUUUUAGAAAGAGAAUCGUAUUAAUAUCUUAUCUUGUGCAACGAGUAAUACAUAUAACUGUUUAUUAUUACAAGCAAAUGUCACAUAGUCUAAGGAAUCUCAAAAACGAAGUUUUGAGCCGAGCACGAGCCUGCGAUCGCACUCUCGUUGCCAUCCAGGUCGGUCGAUCGCGGUCGGUCAAGCCUUAUUGGUCCCGUUAAGAACGCAACGCAGGUGCUCUCGAAAACCAUGCCAUCAACUGGGUGCACGUUGUUUGUUCAUCGUGCCACGAGAGAAUCCGUGCGAAUUUCUGCAAAAGAAUGGACAGGAGAAUCCGGCGCAAUUCAGAUUUCAGAGAUGUCGCCAACCAACGACGCAACGAACGCCUGACCGGGCCAAGCCACGACGACUGGCUAGUGGUGGAGUUUCCACUUGGGGGAAGCGCCAGCGCAGGCAGCUAGCCACGGUCGCCGUGCCGACCGAGAAAAAUAAACGGCGCGAGCUGAGCGACACCACUAAUUGGCGAACGUUCAGUCAAACUAAAUUAAGCGAACGAUUUUCCGACCAAUUAAACUUUUCAUUUUCGAAAAAAAAAAUCUCACCUCUUUCCCUUUUAGGAAAUACCCAUCGCGUGCAUCCCCAUUGCUUCUCUCGCUUCGUUCUCUUUCUCUAGCUAUGAUGACAGCACUGACAUAACUCACAAAAGCAAAAUAUUUUUUUAAAAAUGCUAUAACUUAAAAACGGUGUGUCUAUUUUUAAUUUCGUCUGCACCAAUGUGUUCUACAUGAUGUGACGAAUAAAACUAGACCCCACUUAGAUAUGUUUCAAAGAAUUUUGUUCUACAAAUAACUUAUAUGUACUAACUUAGGAUAUAUAAUUUAGAACAUAUAACUUAGAACACACUAUUUACAUGUAAUAAGCUCAGAUAUAACUUAGAAUAUAUAACUUAUAAUGUAUAACUUAUAACUUAUACAAAACCUUAAAAAUGCAAGAGUUAUGAAACACAUUUUAUUAAAAAAAAAGUUGUAUUACACAUAAAGGAAUGAACUAAGUCAUAGCUUAUGACAAAACUUGCAAACACAAAAAUUAUUAACACACAAAGAAACGAAUUAACUUAUAACUUAUAUCAAAACUUACAAACAUAAAAAGUCAUGAAAGCCAACUUGUGUACAUAAGUUAUUCCAUAUAACUUGUGUAUAUAAGUUAAUCAAUACGAUUUAUGUGCAUAAGUUGUAAAGUUAUAUGUUAUAAUUUAACACAUAUAAAUUUCUAUGUGAAAAAAAAACUUCGAAAUAUAUGUAAGUGGGAUCUAGUUUUGUUCGUCUCGUCGCGAAGAAUACAAUGGUGCAGACGGAAUGAAAAUUGGAUAAACCAUUUAGAAGUUAUAGCAAUUUAAAAUAAAUGAUUUGCAUUUUUUAGAUGACGUCAGUCGGACGUCGGCGGAGUGGAAGACGCUAACUGAAUCGUUCGCUAGAUUAAUUUCUAAUGAACGUUCACUAGAAUGGAACUGGGCGAGCCGAGGCACGUGCUCCAUCCGGUCCCGCUCGGAACAACUGCUAAAACUUUAGUUCAACUCAUAUUUGUAUCAUCAGCUAAUAUCUAUAAUUAAUCGCAGCGACCAGGGGAAGUUUCUCGCGCGAUCGAUUUACAAUGAACAUAUAUAGGAAUACUUGUGUGAAGUAGUAUUAGGUGGUGAGAUUCCUUCUCUCUCUCUCAAUUUUUUUUCUAGAAUAAAAUACUACUAACUCGCUAUCUACUGACCGACCGAUUACCGAUGCUGCUGUGCUUUAUAUAUUGUGGUUGAUUAAUUAAUUAACGUGCGAGGCGACUGUUACGUACGGUAUGCUGCUUCCAGCGAUUGUCUGUUCCGUACAGGCACCGUUGACGGCCGCCGGUCGCCGGAUGCCGCCAUGUAAGGCUAUCUCAUUUGGGACCCAAACCUAAAAUGGGUCUCCAACACAAUACCUAUAACCUCCAACAGAGUACCCAUACAGAAGAUCUAUUUUAGGUAUCAGGAGAGGCAUAACCCAAAUUUGGGUAUCCUCUCUCCUCGAGACCCAUUUGCAGAGAGUGUUGUCUUUUAGGUCUUGUUGUUGGAGAAGACUAAAAAUAGGUAUGGAACCUUUUAACUGUAGCGCUACCUAAAGGACAAAUGAGUCUUGUAUUUUGGGUGAUGAUUGUUGGAGAUAGUCUAAAAGGGGCUAAUUAAGGCCUUGUUUACUUCCAAAAUUUUUUGGGAAAUCAACACUGUAGCACUUUCGUUUGUAUUUGACAAAUAUUGUCCAAUUAUAGACUAACUAGGCUCAAAAGAUUCGUCUCGUCAAUUCUGACCAAACUAUGUAAUUAGUUUUUAUUUUUAUCUAUAUUUAAUACUCCAUGCAUGCGUCUAAAGAUUCUAUGUAACGAAGAAUCUGAAAAAUUUUAUAAUUUUUUUGAAAAUAAACAAGGCCUAAAAAGGUUGUUUAGACUGGUUGUAAAGUAAACUAUUUUGGACUGAAUGUUUGAGAUUUUUUUAUGGGUUUCGAAGACUUAUUUAUAGUAAGUUUGGGCUGCACCUUGGGCUACAGCCCCCCUAGCUCGGACCUGUAUCCGACCCUAGAUGCCACGCGCCUUGGUCCGGUCAAACGUGCAUUACAUCUUGUCAUUAGGGCAGUUAUGCGUUGUGGCACUUGUGUACAUCUUCACUACUGUAUGUACCGGUAGUGUGGUGCAGAAAUAUGAAUCCAAAUACCAUUUUACAUAGGGAGUACAAAACAAAAGAAACAUAUGAGCCAUUUGUUAGUCUGAAAAGUCAUAUUUAAAAAUAUUAUUUAUUAAAUUAUUAUAAAAGAAAAAAAUACUGCUAGCUUUAAGACAAAAAACUGAGUCACAAAGAGAUUUCCGGCUCAUCGCGCGCAUAUUUGAAGCGAAUUAAACGUUCCUUACAUGAAUGAUCGAGAAAAAAAAACGUUCCUUAUAUGCUGAGAUAGAGAUAGUUGUGUUAUUACGCGUGUGUUCAUCAAUUGAGACGAAGCUUAUUAGUUGUUCCCCUGUUCAAUGUAAUGUCGUUUUCAGCCUGGAUUGAUCAUAGAUUCUAGUGAGAAAUCGUAACUAAUGAGAACUUAGAUUUUUUUUUCUUGUGUGUAAGCGUUGCUUCCUGAAAGUGACGGCUUGACGUGGCUGGCUCAAUUGGUCUUCAAAAUUGUGCACUGUUUAAUUCCCAUAGGAUACAAAAUGCCAACUACUUUAAAAUAACGAAAUGAAAAAUACCAAAACUUUCAGAACUACAUUUAGUUCUAUCCAAAAUGCAGAAUAUAUUCUCAUAUUAUGGGAGGCUCUUUUUGAGUUUUUUUUCCUUCUUUAGGCUAAAAUCUAAAAUGAAGAAUAACCACUUUUUUCACCAAAUUUUUUUCAUGAUAUUUAGUUUUAUUAUGCAAAAAAAAAAAUUUGGAACGAAAGUAAACUAAACACCCUACAUCCGAGUCCGUGUCCGUGUGGAGCAGGAUUUUGAUGCAAUCAUGCAUGCAUGCAUGCUGCAAGGUGCAAGCUGUCCAAUAUUCCGUGCGGCCGGGCCUGUUUAGUUUGGAAACGAAAAUUUUUUGGGUGUCACAUCAGAUGUGUCGGAAGGAUGUCGGACGAAAGGGGUUUUUAAAAACUAAUAGAAAAACAAAUUACAUAGCUCGUUAGGAAACUGCAAGACAAAUUUAUUAAGCAUAAUUAAUCUGUCAUUAGCAUAUGUGGGUUACUGUAGCACUUAAGGCUAAUCAUAGAGUAACUAGGCUUAAAAGAUUCGUCUUGCGAUUCUCAACUAAACUGGGUAAUUAGUUUAUUUUUUUAUCUAUAUUUAAUGUUCCAUGCAUGUGUCUAAAGAUUCGAUGAGAUGGAUGAAAAAUUUUUAGGUAGAGAACUAAACAGGUAGUCGGUUAGAUCAUGGGGGGUGAACCGCGCUGGCGAGUCAACCCCCGACGCGGACAAUGUUUUGCCGAAACGAGCGCGCGCAUCUAGAAAGAACGAACAAUUCCAUUUCCCUUUUUUAUAUAUGGUUGGGUGUUUGAAUGCCACAGCGAAGCCGAAGCAGCAGCGUCGUCGGUGUGCGCCGACGUGGCCGUUGCUUGGACGGGCGUCGAGCGCGGGCGCUGCCACAAGUGAAGAAGGGAGUGGCCCCACGCACAGCGAAAAAUGGUUAAAAACCGGUACAGUGUCGAGACUUCCGGCGCGGGGGAAUCGAUUCGCGUCGCGUUAUCAUGGACGCCCGCAGCAGGCGACGACGAGCCUCGAUCUCGAGCUCAUUAGUGUAUACCAGUGCACUCACAUGCUUAAUAUAUGCACGGUUGGUCAUCUGGUCAAUGCGCAACGCAGCUACAGCACAUACUGUUGCUGCUCCCGACAACCUAGUAUUCGUCGUCCGGGGCUCCGGCGCCCGGUUUGGCGUCUGCCGUCUGGAGUCGCCGAUGCCGCGUAUAUAGCUAGUCUCCAUCGUUCUUUCAGAGGAUGUGGAGGCCUUGAGGGUCAAGUGUGUUCUCUAAGUACAGUCAAAUGCACAAUGUGAGGUCGUCCUUGUGAUUUUCAAACAGAAAUGUUGUCCAGUACUGAUGAAUUCUCAUAAUAAUGCAAUCUUAAUGGGUGGAUUCACACCAGAUGCAUUAAUCACUGUGCAUGAUCAUCAUCAAAUUAAACGUACGUAGAGUAUCAGAACUUGAAAGAAGAAAAAGACAUCAAGUUCUGGAACUUGAUAUAUACUCCGUCGUAAUAAAGUUCUAUUUCAGCUGAUAACGAGCACGGAGCAUCCACCGCUUCGAAAGCCAGAGCCACAGCACCGGCCGGCACAGUCGUCGCCUGUACACUAGCUACACGCGGGAGCGGGUGACUAUUAAUUCCGAGGACGUGACGCCAUUAUUCCUCGUGGUCCUGGAGCGAGCGACAAGACACCGCGGUUGCGAAGCUGCGACCGGCGAAGUUGGCCACCCGGCCGGGGCGCGUCAAGCAGCGGCGACGGUCGCCGAGGACGAGAUGGCCGGGCACGUGCGCAUCCCCGCACGGUCACGGUCAGCAAAUUAAGCAGCAGCGCGUUGUUUCAUUUUCUUGGCCGCGAGCCGGCCCGCGACCGCACCGCACCACACCACCAGAGCGUGCCCACGCACGCGCCGACGCGACGCGAUCCUCGAUCGAACACCGGUGGAAAAGCAUCGAUCGAGAGAGAAGAGGCUUGGAAACUGGUCCAAAGGACUUGUUUGAUGUUGUCGGAUUCACCUCAAUCCAUAUGUGUUAGAGUGGAUUGAGGUAGAAUUUAGUUUAAGUUCCACUCCAAUCCACCCAACACAUGUGAAUUAAUGCAAAUUCGACUACAUCCAAACAAAACAUUAAAGUCGAAACGGGUGAAAAAUCACGCGAAAUGAAACGGCUGCGGAUCCGAACGGGGAGUUCCUGUAGUAGUAGUUUAUGGCUGUACGGCCGGGCGCCCGCGGUCCAGAAGAAGGUUCCGUUGCCCUCGCUAUUAGGCCUUGUUUAGUUCUCGAAAAAUUUUGCAAAAUUUUUCAGAUUUCCCGUCACAUCGAAUCUUUAGACACAUGCAUGAAAUAUUAAAUAUAGAUAAAAAUAAAAACUAAUUACACAAUUUAGUCGAAAUUGACGAGACGAAUUUUUUAAAACUAGUUAGUCUAUGAUUGGAUAAUAUUUGUCAAAUACAAACGAAAGUGCUACAGUGUCCAUUUCGCAAAAAAUUUUGGAACUAAACAAGGCCAAAACAAACUGAUCUGCUCAACCUGCCUGCAAACUGCCACGAGUACUGUUGCUCGCUAUAAUAUGUUGUAACUUUUCACUCUUACCGCCCCGCCCACCCCCUACCCCCAAGAUUAACGAUAUUUAAUCAGAAAAAAAGAGUUGUUGUGUUUAAGACGAAAUUCCAAACCAAGAGAAGUUAAUUGUGUUUAUAUUUUAUUACAUGUAAUCAGCUUAUAAUUAGUCGAACUUUUAUGCUUCUAUAGUAGAGGUUGGGGAGGUGAAUUUUUCUGUUUAUUUUUUGUCAAUCGACUUGGUAAAUCUGUAUAAUGACAAAUACAAACAAAUAUGAGUAUGAGUUAAUGCUGCAUUGAACUUGAUAUAAAUAUUGAGCAAAGCCUGUAUAAGUGUCUAAUGUUAGGAUUGAUCUCAUGUGACUCAAUCCAACGAUUGAGUCAGACCCUUUGGCUGUGUCUUGAUCGAGGACGCUCAGCUAACUCUUAGUGGGUCCGUUGGGUACCAUGAAUUAGGAUACCCAAGCAGACGUCAUAACAACUCAAACCUCUUUUUCAAAACAAAACCAGAUAAAGACUAGGGCUCAAUCACCCGACCUUAGAAAGGACAGUUGGGCCACCCGAAAGACCUCUCUGGGCCUUAAAUAGGACAAUUCCACCUCAGUCCAAGGUAGACCGCGAGCAACAGAAGAACAAUUUCUGUCUCGCUCGAGGCCAAGCCUCGGAUUUUUUUCCCAUUCCCCCGAGCCCAGGCUUGGGGGGCCUUUCCCCAAUAAAAGCACUUCAGGCUUCUUGUGCACGUCAAGUAACUGCCGUAUGACAGAUGGGAUGUGGGGCACGCCCUAACACCCAUGCUAUGUAGGCAGGGCAUGGCGCACACUAUGUUGCCUACUCCCAUCACUGCAGCGCCUGCCUCCUGUCACUAUAAGUGCAAUCGAGUCAGGAGGAAUGGGCAGCAUCAAAUCCCAAGCACCGUAGCCACGAACCCAUCAGAACUCCUGAACACAGAUUAAGGGAAAGAGUCCUCGAAGGAUAGCCCAGGCGAGGAACAGAGGUCGGCAUGACGACCACAUGAACAAGCGUCUUGUCUACAGCAUCGGCAUAGCUCAACAUGAGCAACAGGAACAUCCAUACCGCGACCACAAUCAACUACAACAUCAGGGAUGGAGCGCCUUACCCGCCGUACGACACCAAUACCCUAACCCACGCCUCAGAUCAACACCACGACGUUAUAACACAAACACAUGUAUCCUCUCUCUCCUCUUGAACUAUAAAAGGGGAGGGAGGGCCUCAUUCGAACAGACAGAUCAACACGAUAAACCACACACACGCACACAAGAGAUCCUGAUAGACUAACACAAAUAUGAGUUAAGUCUCACACACCACACUACAAGCCGAGACCUAGGACACAUCCCUCUCUCGCAACUCGCUUGUAACCCCUACUACGAGCAUCUCGGGUGUAGGAUAAUACAAGCCACUCCUUCACACUGGAUGUAGAGCACCCUCGGUCCGAACCAGUAUAAAUCUCUGUGUUCUUCCUACAUCGCCAUCUGGAUUGAGGGCACACAGACACAUAUAUUACUUGUUAGUGCCUGGAUCACUAGUUCAGACGCCGACAGGGUCCCUAUCACACAACGUUAUAAAAGAGAAAGAUGGGGCCGGGGCACAAGGGACGAAAUUCAUCACCGCCACUAACCCACCGAGAAAUUAAAGGUCCGAUCCAAUUAUGGGCGCGCUGCAGUGAUGGAAAGCUCCACCAUCACCGACAUCGACGACAUGGUGGAUUCGAACAACUCAACCAAGCCCGAUGGUGCCUAUCCCCUCUAACUCUCUCCUCGCCUCUCUCUCUUCCUCCAUAUAUAUCUUCAAGUUGUUCCUUCUACAAAUGCAAGUAAAUCGCCCACUAAAUCUAUGCCUAGAUGAUCCUUAGAAUCGAUCAUCUCAAUGACUAGUGGACAACCAAAUGGGAAAAAAUUGCACUACUCAAGUCUAAUUCAGGCUAAUAUAGGCAACAAACCAAGCAACAUGCACUAGCCAUGUGCCACCCUUACUAGGCGCUUAGGCCUCACGACUCCGGACAUGGGAUACAAGCCUAUUUAGAGGGUGUUUGGGACUGCUCUACUUUAUGUUUUUCAGCUCCGCUCCACGUUUUUUAGCCAAACGGUUUCAGCUCCACGCACUCAGUUCGAGGAAAAAAGAUGGAGUUGUGAGAGCACCUAAAGAGGUACUCCACAAACUCCAAUUUGUUGUGGAGUUGCUCCACAGUGGAGUUUGUAGAACAGUCCCAAACACCCCCUUAGUUUCCCCAACCAUAUCAAAAGAUUUGACACUAAAUAUUAUCCACUAAAACUUUUGGUAUUAUGAAUUUUAAAUGAGGUGUUUAGAUGCACCAAAAGUUUUGGCAUUCUGUAGCACCAUAUCAAAAGAAGAAGAAAGACAGCUCGUGGCCCAAGGCAAUUUUGCGUAGUUUUAUGUCCCAAAUGCCAAAAUUCUGUAACAAUGCUCUGUUUAGGGGCUUGUUUAGUUCCAAAUUUUUUGGCAAAAUGAGCACUGUAGCCAUUUCGUUUGUAUUUGACAAAUAUUGUCCAAUCAUGGACUAACUAGGCUCAAAAGAUUCGUCUCGUCAAUUCCGACCAAACUGUGCAAUUAGUUUUUAUUUUUAUCUAUAUUUAAUACUUCAUGCAUACGUCUAAAAAUUCGAUGUGACGGGGAAUCUGAAAAAUUUUGCAAAAUUUUUGGGAAACUAAACAAGGCCUAGAUUCAUUUUGCAAAAAAAGUUGGACUAAAACACCAAGGCCUUGUUCAGUUUAUUCUAAAAACCAAAAACUUUUCAAGAUUUCCCGUCGCAUCGAAUCUUGUAGCAUAUGCAUAGAGGACUAAAUAAAGACGAAAGUAAAAACUAAUUACAUAAUUUACCUGUAAAUCGCGAGACUCCAUGAUUAGACAAUGUUUGUUAAAUAAAAACGAAAGUGUUACAGUUCCGAAAACUAAAAAGUUUUUAGAAGUAAACAAGGCCCAAAACUUUUGGCAAAAUGGAGACACUAAAGGGGCCCAUCUCUGCUUCAACAGGGUUUGAUAGACAACUAGUUCCACAACAUACGACUCGCUAUAUCAGAAACAGACUGGGAAGGGGGAGAAAAACUUGUCACCAAAUUAAGAUGAUACCAAGUUUUCAAUUUUUAUCUCAUGAUGGUAGGAUGCUAUGGGUUGACAAAUCCCAUAUAAAGUUACGAAGAACCACGUAAAAAAAAUACCUCACCUUUGCAAAAUUAAUUGCCACUUUACGUAUGUAUGACGCUACGGUGAUUUUCAUACAAAUUCACUGCCGCCAUCAUAAAAAGAAAGAGGGGGGGGGGGGGGGGGGGAGAGAGAGAGAGAGAGAGACUAAUCUACAGCAAACGGCAAAUUAUCAACAUCACAAAGGGAGAACAAAAAAGAAAAGAGAUAUCACAACUUCAGUAUAUUUUUCGUGCUAUACUCUAUCUUCCAUGCAGCUGUGUCAUUGACACAGUGCCAAUGGAGUGGCUCCGGUCCUUCUCGCUCGACUUGCUGGACUCGAUCUCACGGCCUCGAAGCAUCAGGGUAGGCGGCCUCGGAUUAGGAAGGCUCGAGCUGUCGUUGCUCAACAUAAGGAUGACGGUGGGGAUGUCAGGUCGCUCAUCGGCGUGAUCUUGCACACAUAGCAACGCAAUGUGGAUGCAUCUCAGGACUUGUCGAACCGAGCACGACGCUCUUAUCACUGGAUCGAUCAGCUCCGCAGCCUUGUCUUCGUUCCAUUGCCGCCAUGCCUGAAAAAAUGUUUGUGAAGUAAAACAUCAAGCAGUCACAAACAGUAUGAGGGCGAUGCCUGUUUGUUCAGGUGAGUCCCCCUCAACCUAAUGGUUAUAGGACAGGCAAUGUGCUUACAUAUCCUGCGAUAUUCAAGGAGUCCUCAUGACAGUGGAAGCUCACAGCUCUCUUUCCUGUGAUGAUCUCCAAGAUCAGGACUCCAAAGCCGUAGACGUCAGACUUGACUGAGAAAAUGCCUUCCAUUGCAUAUUCAGGAGACAUGUAGCCACUGCAAAACAAAGUUCAACAUAUCAUAACCAAGUGGCAGCAUGGUGUGGUUCCUUCCUGUAUGGCCCAUUGAAUUGUGCAUACAAUGUACCGACGACGCGAUUCGUAUUGAAUUGGUUUUGGUCCCCUCCAAAUAUCCUUGCCAUUCCAAAAUCUGAUAUCUUGGGGUUCAUGUCCGCAUCCAGGAGAAUGUUGCUGGCCUUGAGAUCACGGUGAACAACUCGCAACCUCGAAUCCCGGUGGAGAUAUAGCAGCCCUCUAGCAAUGCCUUCAAUUAUAUCAAACCGUUUCUUCCAGUCUAGAAGCCCUUGCUUUUCAGGAUCUGUUCAACCACAAUGAUCAGAAUUCAAUCAUAUUUGCUAGUUCGGGUUGGGAAAUGAGAUGCGUGGAAAGUGGAGAUGACACAUACUGAAGAGGAAUGCAUCUAGACUUUUGUUAGGCAUGUACUCAUACACCAAGAUCUUCUCUUCUCUCUGUAUGCAGCACCCCAGUAGUCUUACAAGAUUGCGGUGCUGCAACUUUGCAAUAAGUAUGACCUCAUUCUUGAAUUCUUCAAGGCCUUGACCUGAAUUCCUACAAAGCCUCUUGACAGCUACUUCUUCUCCCCCAGGAAAUGUUCCCUGCAGUGGUUCAUGAUAUUCGUUAUCAUUAAGCCAAGUAUUAACAUAAAAGCCCAUGUACAUCAAACGCCAUUCAGAGUAGUGAAAGUUAACAUACCAUAUAGACAGGACCAAAUCCUCCUUCUCCAAGCUUGUUAGAGUCACUGAAAUUGCUUGUAGCAGCUUUUAUGCGUUCCAGGGAGUACACUUUGAGUUCAUGACUUUUCCCAUCCUCCACAUCAUCAUCAAAACGAAUCGACUGCGAGAUGUCCAGCAUAGCACUAUUCUGCUGGGAUCGGGAAGAUGAAUGCCUUGAUCUCCAACUUCUGUGCACUGCAUCUGCUCCAGAAUGUUAAUUAACAUUAUAAAUACUGCAAAUACUGCCAAGAAUUCACUUUGAACUGCUUAUUUGCACUUUUUUUAGCGAUCAUUAUGGUGACUGAAAUGAGUAGAACUUUUAUCGUUUAAUCAGCUGAGGAUAGUUUCAAUGAACUUACAAGUAAAAUUUAUGAUUUAUGUGACCUUGGCUAGAGAAUACCUCAAAUAGCUAAUGUUGGCAAUGUUUUCCCACAGCAAUCACAUAACAAAAUUCAUGGAAUCAUUAUGGUUACUUAAAACCAUGAAGCUUGUUUUUUUUUUUGAAAUCACUAAGGUUUCUAAUAGUGUUGGUGAAAACCAAGCUAAUGGUAGGUUUAUUCUCAUUCCAGUAUAAUCAUAACUAUUGCCAAAACAGUCAGUUGAACACUUGUGAGCGUCCACAAGGAUUUCUCCACAUGGAAUGAUGUGUACAGUGGAAUCUUACCUUUAAUAUUUCUACCACGCUUCCACCACAGAAGAAGGCAAGCAGCCAAAACAAAUAGCACUAUGGCUGAUGCUAUCGUGGCUAUUUUCCAAAUUGGGUGAUGUCCUCCUGCUCAUCAAGAGAGAUCAGGAACUGGCAUAAACAUAAUGUUUCACAGGUGGUAAAUGUAGAAAUGUGAACUGAUUGACCUGUUUUUUAGAUAAACGUCAUUACUUACGUAACUCAGAAGCAGGAAGCUUCAGGUUUAGAGUAUAUGCCCCAGUUGGCAACUCAUGCAUGUCGAUUAGUUCGUUACCCCAGGCUAGGCACCCCGUUGUACUCGUGUAUACAUAAGCACCACAUGAGCAGUUGUUCAGGCAGUCAGUUCUGCACCCAGUCUCAUCUGCCACUGUAGAUACCCAAUAUGAUAAAUCAGGCCAUUUUAUGUUUCUCAUUGGAAGAAAUCCAUCCCCAGAUUGGUUGGCCUCACAGCCCAGAGGAGGGCUCCUGAUGCAACCUUGACUCCAAUUUCCUGCAUUCCACUGCUCCUGCAGCUUCGGACGGAAACCUAUUGAAAUAAGUGAAGUUUGAUGUCAGACAAUAGCUCAUGUUUAUUUUGUAAGAAUGUAUGGAAAGAAUUAAGAUGUACAAAAAUAAUAUACAUAGCGCUCCGUAUCUUCCUGUAUUAGGAAUCCUAACUAAGUUUAUUUGUACUUUAUAUUCUUCUGAAAAAAGGGAACAAAAACUCAAGCACAAAAAUUUAGUCCAUUUUAAAUGGAUGAUUCUUAUAACAGUUGGAAUAUGCCCCAAAUGUUGUAGGCGCACUUGCUGUAGCUGAAGAUGAAAGGUCGUGGUCUUUGGCGGGGGCUCGAGGAUUAUCCCUCUUGGAUGCCCUCGCUCCAUGUGGUUAGAGCCCUGUCUACCUUGGUCGUGAUCUUUAUGUCACGGGCACGUUAGUUACCAUGCUCAAAAUGGAAUUCUAAUCUCCCACGCCAUCAAAUCUUGGAAUUGCAAAAGAUAUUUUGGCUGCAGGCCAUACUUGUUGCAUUGUAAAAAGGAUAUUAGCACUCUAAAAUUGUGGUCGAGUACAAACCUUUUAGGCAGGUGCAUUUUGCCUUGCCAUCUUGUAACGCAGUGCAUAACGAAUUUGGACCACAUGUAGCAUAGUAUUCACACUCAUUUGAUGGUUGGUACCAGACAGUCUCCCAUUCUUGUGAAGAUUUUUUAACCAUGUAGCAGAUGUCUGUGCCAUUUGGCAAAACAACAAACCUCUGCAGAGAAGUGUUUGUUGCAGUGUAUGUGUAAUAUUUUCCUCCUAACGCUGGAUCAUUCGACGGUGUGAACCCACUCAAGUAGAGUGGCCUCCAUGGAAUGCCUAUAAAAUUCACCCCAUUCCACUGUCCCGACCUGUAAAAGAAUUCAGAUCAAGUUAUGACAUAUCUUGCAAAGAUAUAUUAUAUAUAUUCAACAUUUUCAAAUCGAGCUCCCUGUUAUUUUGAGACCCUUUAUUCGAGUAGCUACACAGCUACCAGAAGCUAUCAUUCACACUGGCUAAAUUCCACUUCAUUUCCCUUCCUUUUUGUUCUGUGAUUACUGAUUACAAUGAAGAUACAUGCACACUCACACAGUCCCAAACAUGCAUACUAGACUCAUGCAUCAGUGCACCUCUUAUCAUAAACUUACAAUCAAAGCUGAAAGCACAGGUGCUUGUAAAUUGUAGGCGACCUGAGUUUAGAGCCUGAUGGAUAGAGUCGUACAUACCCUCACAUCUCCAUCCCCGCAACAGAAGAUGGCAGCCCACUUUAUUUCCCAUCCUAGCUUGUUUCAGUUGUGCAGCUAAAUUUCCAGUAUUGAAUUCUAUUUAAUUUGAUUAUUCACUUAUACAUCCAUUAGGCUAUUCAAGACACAGGUAUCAGGGUUCACAUAAGCAGGCACUGUGGAAAUAUUUUUGCACUACCGACUUAACAGAGGGAUACUAGUAGUUACCAAGAUAACUCUGUUCUUUCAGAGAAUCAUCCAAAUGGCCCUCUACCAUGUAAAAACAACAGUUUCAAGGUGAAGGUGAUCACCCAUGAACAGGAGACCCUCAAGUUCCCCAUUACCAGCUAGGAAUAGCCGCCCAGAGGUAAAAGUCCAACCAACAACCAACCAAUCAUAAUGAGCACUACUGAAUUUGAACACAUUUUUCCCUGAAGAAAAGUCUUGAGUUGCUCCUAUGAAUCACAGGGAAAGAUAUACCCUCCCAAAUUCAGAAUUUCUCGAGUCGGAUGGUGAAAUAAGCCAACAACCAUCAAUUAGUGCAGUACUUGCUACAAAGGACUAGUAAAUGUUAUUGCCCAAAUCAAGCUUAUAAAACAAGACCCCAAAUAGCCAGUAAAACAAGAAAGAUGCUUUUCUUUGCAAGCAGGGAAGCAAGGAGAGAAGCAAGAAGCGGACCUCCAGUAGGUAACAUUGCCGUCUUUCCAGAUGUAGGCCUGAGCGUUGGGGUCGAGGCCGAGCGCGUACCGCCCCGGCGAGGGGUCCGUCUCGCUGGCCCAGGACGUGAACAGCAUCCGCUCCUUGGGACCCCUCCCGGGCGUCUGCAAGGUGAUUCGCAUCCCGGACAGGAUGGUGUCCGUCGGGUGCGAGAAGCUGUCCCAGAGCACCCCAUCAUCCUCGCUGCGCACCUCGAGGUUGCCGCUGUCAUGGAGCACCGCCGAGUAGCCGCCCCUUGGGGCCGCGCGCGAGGUGGCGUUGGAGGACCAGAGCAGCGGCGCGUCGGCAGUGCCGUUGGCCGUGGUGCCGUCGAGGACGCGGAGCUCGCCUGUGACGGUGAGCGCGAGCGACGGCAGCGCCGAGGUGGCCGGCGCGACGCGGUUGGCGACCCAGACGACGGUCCGCGGCGAGAUGCCGUGGUACCAGAUGCCGAGGUACUGGCGGGACGGCUGGUUCGUGUCCGGCGCGAAGAAGCCCAACUCGAACACCCCCUCCGGCGAGGACACCAGCGUGGCCGCCCCGGACAGCGACUGCCCCUGCCGCAGCGUGUCCGUCGUCUGCGCCGCCACCGCACAGCAUAGCGAGGCGAGGAGCGGGAAGAGGAGCCGAGGAGGAGAGGGGGCCAUGGUGGAGGAGAAACGCAACACUCCUCCCCCUGGCUUCAUCCCCACCAUCUCUCUUUUCCCUCCCGGUGUGCCCCACCCCGGCCCUAUCGGCAGAGGCCACGGCCAGCCACCCUGAGAGCACCAACCACUCCACUCUGUGGAGAGAGAAAAGGAGUGAAGGAGAGAGAAAGACUGCGCCUUUAAUGGCGAGAGAGCACGCCGCGCUGCGGUGCGGGGCGUGUCACUGCAGGUGGGAGCGAGAGUGAAUUAAUUAGUGUGAUUAAGCAUGUGGCUUUGCUUUCGGUUUUGCUCAAGACUGUGGCGUGGCAGCGAGUUGAGGGGGCGCCGCGAGAGCUGCGUGUCGAAGUAAUUUUUUAAGCGGCCAGCGCGGAAUGGGCGGCCGACGGCCGGAGCUCCGGCUCCGGUGAGCUCGAUCGGCGCGGCGGCCGGAGGACGGGUCCGGCCUUCCGGGGCCCCGGCGCGUGGUUUCAUGCGGGCCUCUGAACAGCGGUUGGAAUAGAAUGACAGGCUUCGAAUGAAGAUACGUUGACGGAUGGAGAUCCGGAAGGACCGAUUUCCGACUGGCGAUUGUGAUCGUGCAUCGAUGCCUUUUAAUGGCGGCGAAAACGAAAGGUGACGACAAGGAGAUGGACCGAAUGGCAGAUGGAGCCAAGUGUCCUACCGUCCUCUACGGUCUACUCCUUUGGGUUUGCAAAGUAUAUUCGGCAUACUAGGGCUUUGUGUACUUCUAAAAAUUUUUGCAAAAUGUGAAUAGCAUUUUCGUUUGUAUUUAACAAAUAUUGUCUAAUUAUAGACUAACUAGGCUUAAAAGAUUCGUCUCGUCAAUUUCGACCAAACUAUAUAAUUAGUUUUUAUUUUUAUCUAUAUUUAAUACUCCAUGCAUACGUCUAAAGAUUCGAUGUGACGGGAAAACUGAAAAGUUUUGCAAAAUUUUUGAGGAACUAAACAAGGCCUAGCAUCCUCACAGUCUAUUGUACUGUAUAUAUAAACUCCCCACACUAAACUAAUAUACAAUUUAGAUUUGGAAUGAAUAGUGACUACAAUAAUCCCUAGACUAGAACACUAUUUAUGUGGUCUCAUAUAUUAAUUAAAUAUAUUGUAGCUAAGGGCAACUAUGUAAAAUGCUGAUGUGAUAUUAUAGUUAAUGAAGAAAGAAGAAAACAAUUUUUUAUAUAAGAAAUUAUGUCUAUACGAGAACCAAAAGACAAAGAGAUGUGAUUGGUAAAUGACAUGAGCAAAGAUGCCAAGUAAGUCAGCAGUGGAGGGCCAAGGCCUAGCAUGGCAUUCUUGCAUGAGUUACAAAGUAGCAGGAUAGAAAGGGUGAGAUUACAUAUUACACCAUAUUUUUGCUAUAUAUUGUCUAUUCUACAGCAAUCUACACACAUGCGGUCACUGAUUCGUAGCAUUUUGAAAAAGCUAUCCAUUGAAAAUAUGGUUUCUAUGUAUAUAUCUAUUUGGGGUCUGUUUGGUUCUGCAUCGACAACAUAUUUUAGCGAGAACGUGGAAAAAUCUUGUGAAAGGUCCGCGAUGUGAAAUGCAGAAAAAAUGAAUUGCACACUUAGAAAUUGCGAAUGCAGCAUCCGAGCUCUGUUCGUGCGACGGACUAUCACGGAACCAAAACAGGAUAAGCGUGGAAACCAUCUCAUAGUUUUUGAGUUGGAACUACCCUGAUAGAAAAUCAGGCUAAAGUUGCACUUAGGCCAGUCUUAGUGGAGAGUUUCAUAGCGUUAUUUCCAAGGUUGCCAUGUCAUAUGAAAUGAAAUGAAACUUGGAUGAAUCACCCACUCUCAAUGGAGAGUUUCAUUCCAUAGUUUCAUAGGCAUUUAAUUUCAAGACUCAUAGAGAGUUGGUAAUCGUGCCAAGAGAGUUUCAUCUGGGCCUUGUUUAGUUCACUCCGAAAUCUAAAAAGUUUUCAAGAUUCCUCGUCACAUCGAAUCUUGCGGCACAUGCAUGAAGCAUUAGAUAUAGACGAAAACAAAAACUAAUUACACAGUUUGUCUGUAAAUCACGAGACGAAUUUUUUGAUCCUAGUUAUUUUAUGAUUGGACAAUAUUUAUCAAAUAAAAACGAAAGUGCUACAGUGGCGAAAUCCGAAAUUUUUCGGAACUAAACAAGGCCCUAGAUGAAAUCCAUUUCUUCUCUCUCUUCUUAAAUACGCUGUCAUGUCAUCCAAAAUGCCUAUGCAGCAGCCUAUUUAAUAUGAAUGAAACUCAGAUGAAACUUCCACUGAGACUGACCUUAAUAAAUACUCUAAAUUCAAUUGUGUCAAAUAUUUUUUGGAGGAAUUAGUAUUUACAUAUUAUCUUUAAUGCACGAUGUCUAUGGCUGAUGUGAAGCGGAAGAUUUAUCGUAGAUAGUGCCUUUAAUUCUGAUGAUGGUUACAUAGUACACAUGUAUAUAGUUGUGGUGGGUCUUUCGCCAAGGCCGGCCCAAUGCAAGGGUUAACAUCUAAAGUAGUUGCAGCGAUAAUAAUGUGCAAGAAGUUGCACACGUGAAGCCAUCAAGUUUUCAUAACGUGUAUUUCAUGGCGGAGUUUGGAGUAGUACGCACUCAUUCAUGGACAGGAAACAUGACGUUAGGUUUGAAGAACUUCUUGCCGGCGUCCUCUGCUUGCCUCGACGAGCAAAACGGAUCGAGUCGUGUCGAUCGUAGCUGUACUGUCACACGACCCUCUUGUUCCAAGGGAUGAUUACGUAUGGUGUGUGAGCCUAUGCAACUGCUGACUUGGAAGGUCGAAUGGCAGACUCCAUGGAUGACUUUCUCAUCUCCAGCUCCAGCAAGGUUUUGUAAUACGGGAGGACCGUCUGUCUGUGAAAAUUAUGAAUCUCCCCAUGCUCCAACCUCCACUCAUCAAUCCGAGAGAGACGAAGAAAUAAGAAAGAAAUGGCCCCAACAACAGGAACAGCGAAAAAGGGAGACUGCAUUAUUCCUCGUUGUUGCUCCAACAAUUGAAAACGACAAGGGCCAUAGUGCUGUGCUGACUCUUUUUCUGGCCGCAACAAAAGAAAAGCGCGUGGAGGGGAAGUUUCAUGCGUCUCUCAAGCAAUACUCCGUGGCGACUAGAAAAGCGUCAGAAAUGUAGACACCUCCCCUCCAAGAUAAAAAUUUUCUUGUGGUGCUUAUUCUGAACAAAGACAAUUAGGCCAAACGAAAGUAGGAUAUUCCAUAGUAUUCAGCGUCUCUUUUUUGGGUAUCGGUUUUCCAACCCAAUCAAGCGCAUUGUCAAGAUUACUUUGUCGAUUAACAAACCAAAAGGAGUAAGUCAUGCCAAGGAUGGUUAGCACAAUGAUCUAAGGGCACACAAUAAACAAAAAGAAAAGGAAAAAGAAUUUUGGUUGGGGUUCCCACCGUACCUUAGGCCACCCCCAACGUGCCAUGGUGUCUGCCCCAUCUUCCAAAUCAGCCUGUAAGUGCCAUUAGCUGCCUCACAUAGGGUUGCAGUGGCCUACAGAGGAAGCACGGCCUCAUCUGACACUUUUACAGAAGCUAACAAUGAAGCAUGUAUUGCAAGAAUGGAGCGGCUGUUUGUGAAGAAAGAGAGAGUUGAAGAAAGGAAAAUGUAGAUUCAUAAUGCUCUUUUUGCACUACAAAAGCCAUAAAAGACUGCAAUAGACUUUAGUUGAUGGUUAUAGGUGAUAACCUUAAAAUUUUUUGAUGUACAUGUCGCACUGUAUUUUUUGCCGAAACUAACAUGCUUAUAUACUUGCGUUGGUGCUGCCCUUAGGGCAACACUAACGCAAGCAUAUAGCAGUGUUAGCCUCGGAAAAAAUCAUUGUCGAAAUUGAAGCAACAAAUUACCCACAACGUGUUCCUCAACUGCUGCUUUUGUUUUUUCUGCAAGAGCUUCGGACAGCGUGCGGAGCCACCGUUCUACAAUGGAAGUUUGGAGCCAAUAUGGACAUUGUGGCAGUACGUCAUCCUCUAGUGGAGCCACCGCUCUUGUGCUAUUUGGGCCUUGUUUAUUUUUUAAAAAAAAAAUUAUAAAAUGGAUAUUAUAGCACUUUCGUUUGUAUUUGACAAAUAUUAUCUAAUUAUGAACUAACUAGACUUAAAAGAUUCUUCUCGUAAAUUACAAAUAAAUCGUGUAAUCAGUUAUUUCUUUUAUUUAUAUUUAGUGCUCCAUGCAUGUGGCGCAAGAUUCGAUAUGAUCAGAAAUCUAAAAAAAUUUUGCAAUUUUUUCUAGAAACUAAACAAGGCCUUGGCUUUGCUCUGACGAUACUGUAUUUGACAACAAAAACAGUGACAUCAUUUAAGCAGGCACUUUGCUGGGCACUCACAGGAUGAAAUUUUGGAGGUUCCUAUGCAAGGACGAGAUAGCUUGCGCAUGGACUGCCCAAGCGUUUGAGGUAGUGUCAUGAAUUUCUUUGUCAAAGAAUGGAUGAUGAUGACGGUUUAUACUAAUAAAAUAUAUGUACAUAUUCCAAAUGAUGUGUACUCGCGCGCGUGGCCUUUCAUGUCUUAGUUUCCAUUCGUCACCCCUCGCAUGCAGCUAAAAGUUUACAUAUUAUGACGAAAAAAAAUUGGACGUAUGCAUAGCAUCAUGACGAAAAAAAAGUGGAUACAGCCUCCCACCGGUGCAUACCAACCACGGAUGAAUGACACUUGUCCAACAAAAUGACAACAUGGCUGCCUCCGUAGUCCGUAGCUGGUUUGUAGCAGAUGGAGUAGCUCCCUCGGCUCGGCUGCAUGCAAGCUUAUCCCAGCGCAGGACCGGACCUCUUUUAGGUCUUGUUUAGUUCUUAAAAAAAAAUUGUAAAUUUUUUCAGAUUUUCUAUUACAUCGAAUUUUAUGGCACAUGCACAUGCAUGAAGUAUUAAAUAUAGAUAAAAAAUAACUAAUUAUACAGUUUAUUUAUAAUUUGUAAGACGAAUCUUUUGAGUCUAGUUAGUCCAUGAUUGGACAAUAUUUGUUAAAUACAAAUAAAAGUACUACAGCGUUCAUUUUUACCAAAAAAAUUUAGAAGUAAACAAGGCCUUAGUCAAAGCUUUGGAUUGUAAAGCCGGACGCGCGGCUUCUCUCCAUGAUGGGUACUAAUGUAUAGAAGGUCUGUUGGAACAUGCUCCACCAAUUUCUUUUUUGCACAAAAAAGGCUAAACCAUAUUUCCAUCUUUCAAGGCACUCCCUUCUUACUCUUAGAUUCGACAGUAAUGUCACUCAAACUAUGAAAUAAUAUAAACAUUGUGUGCGGACACAUAGAGGCAAGAAAUUCAUAUUCAACAAAAACAAUUUUAAAAUCAUACAAGCCACGGUGGUUGUCACGGAUCAUUGUUGUCAUAUUGACGGACAGUUCUUCUAUACCGGGAGCGAGCUAGCAAGAGAAGAGAAAUUCGAGAAUCUACGCAACUAGAGAACCAACGGUUUAGAUAUGAACGAUGCUUUUUAUGAACAUUAUGUACGUUGAUGUAAUAUGAACAUAUUUUCUGACAUACAUGGACCGUGCAAUGAUAAAGAUUACAUAUAUGGAUGUAAUAUAUGUGCUUAUAUGUUUCAAUCUAGCAAAUUUCGGAUUCAAUGUGGUUAUCCUUUAUACAUAUGUAUUUUGCUUUGUAUAUGUUUCAACCUAACAAAUUUUGGAUUCAAAUUUGAAAAUAAACUGAAAAAGGUUUUUUUUAAAUCUGGAUACACUUAAAGGAGGCGGGCUAGUUACAAAAACCGUCUCUGUUAAUACAUUAACAAAGACGGGCAUUUAAAAAAAAUGUCUCGUUAACAUAUUAAUGGAAGCGGUUUCAUAACAGCGGCCGCCUCGGUUAACUUAUUAACCGUGGUGGUUGGGCAACUGCCUCGGUUAAGGCAACAAUUAACCGUGGUCUUUGAUCCAUGGCGGUUGCCGUGCCCGCCACGGUUAACCUGUUUUGCCCGCCACGGUUAAAUAUUUCUGUAGUAGUGUCUUCUACACAUUUUAAUUUACGCUAUACUAGCUAUUUUCCAUGACUUCGAUAUUAUUUUUAAAGCCUUCAUGCAUGUCAGUAUCAUCAUGAGACAUACUACUAAACAAGAAGACAAAUCUUACAAAUUCUCACCAAAAAAAUGGACAUGAUUGACACAACUAGAACUCUGAAAUCUAGGUUGGAAAUAGGCAAAUAGCCUAUAGACUAAUUCCACAUGCUUCUAUAGACCUGAGAAAAAUCUGGUUCGGUAGACUCUAACCAGUUCCCAAUAGUGACCACAGGAGAAUUCGGGCCUUGUUACUGCACAGAUAUUCCCUCCAUACCUAUAUGAUCUCCAAAGCCUAAAUUUGACUUUUUGUUUUUAUAAAAUAUUUAUCAAAAAAGUAUUUCUCAAGACAAAUUUAUUUAUAUAAUUUUUAUAUUUUCAAACACAACAAGUCAAAAAUUAUCCAUGAUUUAUAUUUCUAAUGUUUGAUCCAAAUAUUAUCUAAAAUGACUUGUAUGGAGGGAGUAUCUUAUAUAUUAGUAAAAAAAAAGCAUGGAGCGAAGCACAAGAUAUGCGUCCCAAAUAAUAUACUAGCCUUGGUCGUAGAUUUGACUGUCGGAUGAAAGAGAGAGAUCAGCAGAAAGGAGAUGACCACCAACAAGUGAAGUCGAGCGCCAACCGUGGUCAUCCAGCGUCAAAGGAGAAUUUAAUAAAGGUGGUGUGCCGAGCGAGCGAGAGGGCCGACACACAAGUGAUGUACGUAGGCCUUGUUCAGUUGAGAGAAAAUUUUUCGUUUGUUUGUAACAAAUAUUGUCCAAUUAUAGACUAGGUAGACUCAAAAGAUUCAUCUCGCGAAUUACAGAUAAACUGUGUAAUUAGUAUUUGUUUUUAUCUAUAUUUAAUACUUUAUCGAUGUGACGGGGAAUUUUAAAAUUUUUUGGAACUAAACAAGACCGCAUAUAUACAUAUGCGUCGGCGCAAACAGUACCGUCCUCGAUGAUUGUCAUGCAUGUCUACGCAUGAUGUGAAGCUAUUUAAUGUGUACAUGUCCUUCGCCAAGCAGCAGCCAUCUACUGUAGUGUUGUGCCAUUCUCCAAGAAUUUGCACACCUGAAAAAAAAAAUCCCUUCAAUUGCUUGCCAACGUGCCGUGCAUACUGCAUGGCAUGAUGGAGGGUCACGCACGGAAACAUAUUUUAAGGCCCCUUAAUUCCGUACAGGAACAUGUCUUAAAUGUAAAAUACUCUGUUGGCUGCUUCUCCGAAUAGCUGGCCACCUGUUUGCAUUUUAAAUUUUCCCGCGGCGCCCUAGCGAAUGGACAGAACACAUAUUUUUAGCUGUACAAACAAUCCAACAUACAUUCCAUGUUCCAAGGGAUGAUGAGUGAUGACCACAGCGGAGUGGGGUACGUGCCUAUACACCUCUCCUGACUUGGAAAGGUCACUCAACUCAAUGAUCAGGCCUUGUGGUCACUUGGAUUAUUUAGAUGACAGCUCCAGCUUCAGCCUUGUUGAAUAUUCUUGUGCAACACACUAACACUGGGGCCUUGUUUAGUUCCAAAAAGUGAAAAGUUUUCGGUACUGUAGCACUUUCGUUUGUUUGUGACAAAUAUUAUACAAUCAUGGACUAACUAGGAUCAAAAGAUUCGUCUCGUGAUUUACAGCUAAACUGUAUAAUUAGUUUUUAUUUUCGUCUAUAUUUAAUGUUUCGUGCAUGUGCUACAAGAUUCGAUGUGACGAGGAAUCUUGAAAACUUUUUGGUUUUCAGGGUGAACUAAACAAGGCCUGGGUUGGACAACAUUAUCGUCCGUGGCUGUGAAUUUCAGGCCUUAUUUAGUUGGUGAAAAUUUUAUAAAGUAUUACUGUAGCAUUUUCGUUUAUAUUUGAUAAUUUUUGUCUAACUAUGAAUUAACUAGACUUAAAAGAUUCGUCUCGUAAAUUACAGACGAACUGUACAAUUAAUUAUUUUUUUUAUCUAAAUUUAAUGCUCCAUGCAUAUAACGCAAGAUUCAAAACGGAAAAUCUUGAUCAUUUGGCAAAAUAGUUCGGUAACUAGACAUGGUCUCAGCAAAGCGCUCGCCAGGUUAUUACCUCUGGUGCCCAAUGCUUAUUAGAUGUGACGUUCCGUGCCAAAUGUACUAGCAACAAUACUCAACUACUCAUGUACUACAGUAGUACAUCUUAGUAUUCUGUUGUACACUAGUAGGAUUAUCUCCCCCUGGAAACUAAACAGGGACCAUUUUCUAUAUCUAAAGACGACUGCCCAGCACAAACGCCGCCGUCCCGACCGGAGUCCGGAGCGGCUCGAUCGAGCCAGUCCAGCUCCGUCAACCACCGUGUCUAGCGGAUGGCCAGGCAGUCCAACAACCAGAGUCUACAAGGUCUAGUUUAGUCUAAGAAUGACAAGCGAGUUGGUUCACGUCUCAGCGUCAUUAACCCCAGAUUGCCGGCCGGUCCAUCAGUUUUCAGUCAGGUAUGGAAAUCUUCACAAGACGACAUAGCAUGAUCCUGUCACUGCUGAGCUCAAACACACGGACGGACGGAUCGAUCAGCCCAUGCCCAGGUCUCAAUCAUCUACCACGGCAGCUUCAGAGAGAGCUUUCUGCUUGACUCGGUGAUCAUCCUACCCAAUGACCAACCCUGUAGUGUAGCGUCAAAAUCAACUUAAACAAAAGACAGAGAACACGAGCACGGCGAGCACCAUUGCAGUCGUCACUUGGGACAACCAAAGCGAAAACAAAACAGAGCUCAUGUUCGGUCCGCAAUCUGUCCGAAAAUUGAAAACGACGACACGGAAUUCUUAAUGCAUCCGCCGCGACACAACGCAAGCACAUAGAUUAGAGGCGUGAAUCACAAGAUGCGUCCCAAAUACAGUGCUGCCAAUAAAAGGUCCCAUGGCAACGUGAGCCUGAAGAUAAUAAUUAGUCAAUAGACGGAAGGUAGCUGGAAUGGAAAAUUCGCCCCAGGAAAGGGGUGAUGCGUGGCUACAGACCAAACAUAUUGUCGCAAAAGUGAGCAGCUCAGAUGAUCCAAUGCAUGAACACAUCCAAGAGAGAAGUGUCUCAGCACGGAAGGCAGAGUAGGGCAAAUGUGAGUUGUUCACCUAAAUAUUCACACAAUUCCAACAAGCAUCCUUUUAAACACACCCCCCCCCCCCCCCCACCACCCAAUUCAUGAGCAGAAUUCUACAGCGUGCCAUUCACAGCAGCUGGGCGUCAUAGCAUUCCCUGAACACACAAGUAUUAUUUCUGGAAAGGACAAGGAUCUACAACAUGCUUGUGUGGAAAUUUAUAAUAUUAUAAACACCUUGAAUCGCUCAAAUUCUCCAUGUUGGGCUGAACCAUGCUGAACAUGCAUGUGAUUCACUGAUUCGGUUGGAUCCUCCUCUAUAACACGAAAAGUGCAACAGUACUAGUGCACUACGGCAGCACAUCCAUAGCAGAACAUGUUCCAAAGAGUUGGAGUCACCACUUCACGAACCAAAAGGUCCAGACCAGCCAAAAUUUCAAAUUUAGAAAACCCCCAAUACCAUAGUGUGGCAAAAUCAUUGCAAUGAGGAAAGCACGGAACCAAUCCCAGCACACUGAGAUGGUUACUGCCACUCAAUUCCAUGUACCAGAAAAGUAAUCUGAAUAAGAAAAGAUUCCAUAGCGUCGCUUACAGGUCCCAAUGGAAGAUAAAUCCAACCAUGGCGGGAAAAGGAUCAGGGAAGAUAGUAUAUCAUGCCAGCCUCACGUAAAGAAAAAGGUAGCUCUAUCUGAAGUUGACCGGAAAAACAGUGGAACUUUCCUCAGGACUGGAAUCAGCACAUCAAACUAAAAUAAAGCAAAUAAAAAAGGGGAGGAAUUUGCACACUUGAUUAGUUGGUUCUACAGAAGUGGUUAAUUUGUAAUCAGAAACACAGUGCAAUGCAAAUUAACUACAAACGUUCAGACAGAUAUUCACGAGGCAGUGGAAGUCAGACAAGCUACAUGAACAAAGGUAACAGAACUACAGAAGAUACAAACAAAGUGAAAGCACGGAUACACACGGGUAAUGGAAGUUCAGGAAACAUCACAUGCACUCAAGCAGAAAUCCCAGCUAGCACCCAGCCAACAGUCCAAUACUAGAACCUUUACAUGCUGUGGAAGGAAAGGACAAGAAUUAGAUAAAUAUAUAAACAAAAUUGAAGACAAUUAGUAUAACAGAUUAACAGAUGCAUGGUAAAUGAGAAUUUUUGGUGGUUGUCAAGCCAGAUGACAAAGUUUUGUUGAAACUAAAGCCCUGCUUCAAUAGUGUGCGUGCAAAAGUUGCAGCAAACUGUCCAUGGAAUACCCAGUGACAGGUUGGGACCACAGAAGCACAGUACAAUGGACCUCUGAUCAUAUUCAUAUGGGAGGAAAGUGAUCAAAUCAAAGGGAGCUAAGGUUUUCUAAGAGUAUAAAUUAUUGAAGGAUAGGUCCACUGGGAUGUUCACUAACAAUCUAAAAACUUCAUCUGGAUAUAACAUUUGCUCUAAAAAAGAAAACAGGUCCCUGCUUUGUAGUCAAGGGAGCUUAUUCAAUAGUGCAAAAGUUGCAGUAAACUGUCCAUGGAAUACCCAGUGACAGGUUGGGACCAUAGAAGCACAGUACACUGGACCUCUGAUCAUAUGGGAGGAAAGUGAUCAAAUCAAGGGGAGCUAAGGUUUGUCUAAGAGUAUAAAUUAUUGGAGGAUAGGGCCACUGGGAUGUUCACUAAUAAUCUAAAAACUUCAUCUGGAUAUAACAUUUGCUCUAAAAAAGAAAACAGGUCCCUGCUUUGUAGUCCUGAAUGAUAUAUUUAUGUUGCAGAGGCACAGAGCUAUCCUUGAUUUGUGACAACCAAGGAUAAAAAUUCUCCUAUCUUUCAUUUCAAAACUACAAAAACCCUCAAACUUUACAACUUAAAGUAAAUACAUAAUUUAGCAUGCAUAACUUUCAGUACUGCACGCCACAAAGAUGCCAUAACACAGUGAAAACGAAAUUCAAAAAAAUUACCAUAUAUGAUGCGCAACAUAUAUAUACAACAGAAAUGUGCAGCAUUGAUGCCUUAACCAAAGACAGAACAGGUACAGGAAAAACUAUUGAGAAAAAAGCUCCAUAGCUAAUGCCCAUCAUACAACAACAAUAGAACCCAAAUGGGACAUUUUAAUUGUAUGCUAACCUGAAUCCGAGAGGGCUUCACUUCACAAUGCAUCAUCGAGGUCAAGUAUCUGCAGAAAUUGCACCAAUUCUAGAUAUUAGCCUAAUUAAUCACAAAGGACCCUUGAUAUGAUACAUGCAAAUGUUUUUUUCCAUUAAAGCCAUCAUAAAAAUCAAUGAGAACGAUGCAGUACAUUCAAACAUUAAAACUUUUGAGAACAAUUUUCAGUUUUUUCAGGCAGUAACUUAUAAGAAAACAUUAGCCCACAGCUUGAUAUGGGUUAAUAGCACACAGAAGAUGAAAACUCAGCUAAAGGAAUCUAAGUGUAACCUAACCCUUUCAUUGAUCAAAGCUGUGAUACAUAAACUAAUUGAAUUUUUGGAUAAGAAUAAUGAUUGCCAUCAAGCUAUUUCGCAAAUAUGAAAUUAUGGUGCAGCAAGUAACGUUUAUAAUGCUUAAUAUAUUUUUUUCCAUUGAAGGCAUAACAGAAAAGGCUGGGUUAUGUCAGCAUCUUCAACUUGUUAAUGACAGCUAGUUGUUAUUUAAUCCAAGCUGGGCAGGUGGGGGGUACCACACCAAAGACCAGUGGACAUGACGUCCUCAGUGGUCACCACAUCCAGAUCCACCAAGGCGGGGACGUCGGGUGGUGGCGAGUAUGGCUGUACUGGGGCUGGGGCCACAAAGCAGGUGAGAGCACCGACCAGCAAUUGGAUAAAGGUGGGAGCCUAACAAAUAAGGGGUGGCCAUUCAGACUUGGGCUUGGGCUGCUUUGAGGCCUUUCUGUCCAAUGCUAGGCCGGUAGGCCCACUGAUCUCAUGUUUUGCCAUUUGGUUAAGGGUAUAUAUGCAAGUGUAUGGCACAUGCCUAGGCGCACCUAAGCUCAAGUCAGAGGCCGAAGGGUCACCACCUAGAGAGCGCCUAACGCUUUCCGUAACCUUGAUUUAAUCACAAAAACUUGUGACAUGACAUCACUCAUUCUAUAAAAUUUAACCAGCCAAGGGAAGAGCAUAUGUUGAAGUUUGCAUCUAUUGAAUAUAGAUGCCUAAGGAGCCAUAACAGUUCAGAUAACUAAUAUUAUCAUCUACUUUUAAGAAGGGAAGGGAUGGAUGAAGAUCCAUAUCCAAAUCGAGACCAAGGCACACCCAAUAUGAGAUGUCUAUAUCUAACUCAAUCCAAUUAGACUGCAGAAUGAUCCAAACAAUCAAUUAAAGUCCAGCAUCCAUCCAAUUAUCCAACAUUAGGAAACAGUUAACAUCAAGAAACAGUUGAACACAAGAGAAAGCCCAUGCAAAGAGGAGAUUGCCCUGCUGUUUCCAUCCAUUUUUUUUAAAAAAAAAAAAUCCCACACGUAAAAUCAUAAGAGAUGAGUGGAGAAUGAAUUUCUAGCCAAACUUGUCUAAUUGAAACUGCUAACCAUCGAUUGAAUCAAUCCAAGCACACAAGCAGUUGGGGGCAGAAUCACUGCCACUUCACAUGCAAAUGCAAGCUCCUGUAAAUCUGUAAUACUAGAUUGCAAAUCUAGUGGCACAACCACCCGAGCUGCCAAAAACCAUUGAUUCCUAUGCAAUAAAUAACCCACUGAGCCUAUAGUUGUCCAACAGCACGAGGCCCAUGGGCCGCUAUUUUGGCCCAUGGCCUGAUGCAACUCAUGCCCGUGCCUCGGCCGUUAUCUUGGCCCGUCGGGCUGCACAGGCACGGCCCAUACAACCUUGGCCUGUCACUGCUCAUCACAUUGCUAGGGCUCACGUCAUCUCCUCGUCCCAGAUUCCCUUUCUCCUUCCUCCUCCCGCUGUGCAGCCCUCUUGUCUGCUGCUGUACGCUCUCCACUGCCCUCUCCUCUGUGCUCUUUGGCCCUCGCCUUCUCCCCAGAUCUGCUCUAUUACAAGUUUACAACGCUCCAGUCCACGGCACAAUCAGCCCUGCCUGCUCCGGCCGGAGCUUAGAAUGACAGCUAAAUUUUGCUUUUGUUUUUGUGUUUAUGUCGUUCUCAAUCUACAGUGAGUCAUUCAUUAGUAUCUUGUUUCGAUCUGUUUAAUCUUGCAUUUGCUGAUUAGCUCGUGUCGCCCAACAGCCUUUAGUUGGCAUUCUGGGUUGUUUUUCCUCGAUUUGUUUGUCUCUCGCCUCCUCCCAUCUUUUUCGCUUGGCAUCAGCAACAGGCCAGCAGCGGUUCAGCAGCAACCUCUUCCUUGCCCCCUCGGUUGCAGUACUUCUACAGCCCCACCAUCUCCUUCUUCUUGGUAGCAAUGACUUGAGGCCACUAGGCUCGCCAGGCACGAUUAGCAAUAGGACCGUGCUGGCCCCACUUUGGCCAUCUGUACCUGAGCCUCUUCAAGCAAGUGGGGGGAGCAUACUGUAGCUUCCCAAGCAGACCAAUGUGCAGACCCCAGCACUGUGGGCCAUCCAUUCACUACAGUCAAAGGCCAUCAAUUCCUAUGCAGGUAAAGCCUCCAGUGGCGAUGUCAAAUUGUCGAAAGCCCCCAUCUAUUCACUACAUGUUCUAGUUAAUCCCCACUUGAAUUAGCAUUGAUACGUUGUGGCAUAACCACAUAUCAAUACCUCUUUCUUUUGUGGGAAAACAAGGGUAAAUCUACAGUUGAAAAUUUAAUUCAGGUGCUCCCAGCCAAAUGAUCUAAUAGGCAAAGAACAAACAUAAAGUACUGAUCAAUUGAUGGUAAAGAGUGAAAAUAAAGUUUAGAAUUAGUUGCUUUCACAAUCUCAAAACUAAAUAGAACCAAAUGGACUAUUGACAGAGCAUGUAGAUCUAGAUCUUCAAUAGGAAAAACUGAAGUAAGGAGAACAGACAUAGAAUUGAAACAUAGUUACCGCAACCCUACAUGGGCAAUCUUCUUUACUAUAAAAGGCCUAUAGUCGCUAAAACCUAGUUUUCAUACACGAGGUUGUUCUACCAAACAAUCAAGUUCUACAAAGCAUUCUAAUACCAUAUGAAGUGGACACCCUAAAAGAUAAUCUGAACCAAAUACUGUUCAUAUAAACGAAACAUAUACCUGCAAUCCUUGCUAAGUUCAAAUUAGAAUUACUGCUUAGUUGUAGAGACAGAGUUGCAAGUAGAUCUUGGUAAGAUCUCGUACAGCACGUGUGCUGCAAGCGGUGUCCAUUUUGGCAUGUAACCAGUAGUAGCUAACUAGCUAAAACUUAAGGUUUUACGAUGUUUGAGGUUGCUUGGUUCUGGGGACGAUGGUUCUGAGUGCAGCGCAUGCGGCAGGCUGAACCCUGGGUGUUCAGAUGUUGUGAUGCACUUUUGCAAGUUCCUGAACCAAAUACUGUUCAUAUAAACGAAAAGUAUGCCUGCAAUCCUUGCUAUGUUCAAAUUAGAAUUACUGCUUAGUUGUGAGAGAGAGAGAGAGUUGCAAGUAGAUCUUGGUAAGAUCUCGUACAGCACGUGUGCUGCAAGCGGUGUCCAUUUUGGCAUGUAACCAGUAGUAGCUAAAACUUAGGGCCUGUUUGGAACGAAGGAAUAGAAAACAUAGGAAUAGGAAAAAAUGCAGGAAAGGAAAGUAAACAAAGUGGCAAAACAGAGGAAAGAAAAACUGCAGGAAAAAAAUAGAAAGGGGCGUUUGGACAUAGGAAUUUGUAACACAGGAAUUGCAAAGCAUAUGAUUUAACAAAUACACUUAGCACAUAAUGACGAUUUGGAACAUACAAAUUUGUAACACAUGUAUUUGUUUUUAUUCUUACUUUAAAGGGUAGGACCUGCUAUAGUGCUAUCCAUGAGUUAUAUAGCUUGCAGUAGUAUGGCUACAUACGCUAGAGCAAAGCACAUUGAAUGGUGAUACGGCUUGGCUAAUCAUUUGUCCCCUAGCUGUGUUAGCGCCUUAACAGCAGCAUGCUGCCUCGGACUUCCGCGAAGAGCGGAAAACCAGAGCAUGGAGUGGAUUUUUUCAUUCCUGUGAAAACGCGAAGGGACUACAGUAUUCCAUAGGAAAGGGAGGGGUGUUUUCCUGUGUUCCAAACAGCAUGGUUGCUUCCCUUUCCUUUGUUUUUGUUUCCUUUGAAUUUCCUACAAAAAUCCUAUGAUCCAAACAGGCCCUUAAGGUUUUACGAUGUUUGAGGUUGCUUGGUUCUGGGGACGAUGGUUCUGAGUGCAGCGCAUGCGGUAGGCUGAACCCUGGGUGUUCAGAUGUGGUGAUGCACUUUUGGAAGUUCCUGUUUUCAUGGUUAAAAAACUCUGAACACUUGGUUGUUGUGAGUGCGAGGCAAUAAACUUCGGGCUUCCGUCAUGGAUAAAAGAAAAGAAUGACUGCUUAGUUGGAAGCAGAAUAAUCCAGAGUUAGUCAGAGCCAAUUAACCGAUAGUAGUAAAUUUGUUGCGCACAUUGUGCUGUCCUAUUGUUAUGGUGAGUAAAAUUUUGGUGCAUUUUGUAUGGAUAAUGAAGGCAGCCCCCCUAUGACAUGCACAGCAAGCAAUUAUAUAGUAGGAGUAAGAAAUUCAGUUACCCUUGUGCUCCUCAGCAGCGUCAUGGUACUCGGCCUCCUCCUCCAGCACAGGGUGCAGCACAUCCUCAGCACCAACCGCGGCAGAAAAUCCACCGGCCUCCCCAGCCUCGGCGGAGCCGUCAUCAGGGAAGCGCACGACGACAACGGGGCAGACACAGUGGUGGACGCAGUAGUCGCUGACGCUGCCGAGCCUGCCCUUGCUGGUCCUCCUUGCGGCGCCGAAGCCCUUGCUCCCCAUGAUGACGGCGCUGAGCGAGAGGCGCUCGACCUCGAGGCAGAGGCGCUCCUUCAUGUCAUGGUCCCUGACGAUGUGGAUCUUGUAGGGGAUUCCGGCGUCCUUGAGCGGCCUGGCGAAGUCGUCGGCCUUGGAGGCCGUGAAGGCGUCGUAGUCGUCGUCCAUCCUGCUCGCGGCCGCGGCGGCCUCGGAGUCGUCGUCGUCGUCCUCGGAGGCAGCGGCGGCGUUGCUAGGGUUGGGGAGGGAGACGUCGACGGCGCCCCAGUCGGCGCCGUAGAGCACGGAGGUGGGGCGGACGUGGAGCAGGAUGACGGCGUCCCCGGGGCGGAGGUAGUUGGCGACGGCCCAGCGCACGGCGUAGGCGGACUCGUCGGAGAGGUCGACGGCGAUGGCGAUGCGGCGGUGCGAGGUGCCCAGCGGCGCGGCGGCGGCCGCGGCGGAGAAGAAGACGCCCGGGGACUCCGGCUGCAGCGACGCCGGCGGCGGGGGCCGCGGCGUCGGCGCCUUCACCGGCGGCGGCGCCGCCGCCAGCGGCAGGUCGACGGAGGAGGACGGCGCCGGCGGACUUGGGGCCUGCAUCGCGGGAUCUUCUGCGGCGAUCGGUCUGGGACUUGUGAGUUUGCUUAGCGGCCGGGGUCGGGGUCGUGGGGACUUGGGGGCGACUAGGGAGGGAGAGGAAGGGGACGGGGAGAAGGUACUGGAAGGAAUGGAAUGCUUGGGGUUGAAGUCGAGCGAGGCGCUGGGUGGGGGUGGAUGAUAAACUUGUCACGAUCUGGACGAGGUCAAGCGUUUGCCUUGGAGUGGAAUUCGACGGCUGGUCGGUCGGCGCCACGACGUGCACGUGGAGGAUGGAUAAGGAUUAAGGACAAGGCCGCCCAGAUCCAACGGCGCUGGACCAACUUGCGCAGCUUGCUGUCUUUGUUACGUUUUCGCUAUUACGGUCAAAAUCUCAAUUUUUUUAAAAAAAUUUCUAUCACAUCAAAUCCUAUGACAUAUAUAUAAAGUAUUAAAUAUAGAUAAAAAAUAACUAUUUAUCUAAAAUUUGCAAAAUAAUUUUUUGAAAUCUAAUUAAUUUAUGGUUAGAUAAUAAUUAUUAAAUAUAAACAAAAGUAUUAUAAUGUCUAAAUCUAAAAAGAUUUUAGAUGUAAACAAGACCUGAGUACUUUUAGUUUGAUACACUCAUGAAUUAAUCAAAAAAAGAAGCAGCAAGAGAGAAGAAAUGCCUGGUCUGUGAUUUUUUGAUAAACAGCGGGCAUCAAGAAAAAUUGUUAGCCAAUGUUGCACCCUACAGCACACAAGUUUCCUCCUCCACGCUCCACGUGAUCAGUCGUUGCAAAGCGAAAGGCUGCUAUCCCUGCUAAGAUAAGGCCCAGCCAAUCAUUACGUCGUGGUUAGGACCACGAUUAGGGAAUAGAUCGCUCGCUCCUUUUUCUUAUAUAUUCAUGUACUAUAAAUAUAAGUAAAAAAUAUAACUAAUUAUACGGUUCAUAUAUAAUUUACGAGACGAAUCUUUUCAACUUGGACAUGUUUGGUAUAGCUCACAACAGCUUUAUAAGCUGUUGUGACCUCAUCGGCGUCGACCUGGCCUCUACUUUCUACUUUGUUUUCAGUCAUCCUCUGCUACCUCCUCCCUCGCGCAUCCACAACCAGUGUGUAGGUUUGGACAUCCUCUACUCCGCCUGGCGCGGCAAGCGGCAGUGGAGCUUCAACGAGACCCUAUUGCCUGCAACGAACUCCUUCUUCUCCCCACCCCCAGCCCUUGCCCCAACCUAGCUUGUCCGCCUCCACUCACUCGCUCUGGCGGCAUCACCUCAUCUCCGUCUCGUUGCUGACUCUCCUAUCCCCACUGCCUGGCCUACCUCACUUCCUUGGCCUUCUGUCUAAGCCCACUAGAGAUGGAGAAGAAGAGAGGGGGUUGACUCCCACAUUGUCCGUGUGUCACACGAUAGCGUAGGUGCACGAUCAAUCACGUAAUUGAGUUUGUGUUUCUCUUGGUGCCAUUUGGAUCCUUGAAAUUGAAUUCGUUUUAAUAAUCAUAAAGGCAUAUAUUAGUUAAGCUAAUAUGGUAAUAUAAUAUAUAUAUAUAUAUAUUAUAUUUAUAUAUUAUUGUUGGUUAUACGAGAGAUAUUUAUGUGUUACAUUCCUACUGUAGCGAAAGGGGCUCUAGCCUAGUGGUUAGAGCACCUAAGUAGCACCAGCGGACCUAGAUUCGACUCCCCGUGGGAGCGAAUUUAAACACGUCUAAAUUAUAAAAAAUGAAAAAAAUAGGCUGAGGUUUCCUUUGCUGACUUUGGUAAAAAAAACAUUUCUACCGUAAGAAUAAGUUGAAGAACGUGUUAUAAGUUCCAAAGUAUAAAUAUAAAUGACACAACACACAAGGGAAGGAAUCCAUGUAAGUUGAAGAGCGUGUUAUAAGUUCCAAAGUAUAAACAUAAACGACACAAUACAAGGAAGGGAUCCAUGUACGCCUAGCCCAGUCGGACGGAGUGAUAUUCAUUAGUAACAAAUCAGGAAAUAGCUGCCACGGCAGUUGCCAACUCAUAAUCCCUUAUCUACAGCUGCCACUAGCCCAGUCGCACGGAGUGAUAUUCAUUAGUAACAAAUCAGCAAAUAGCUGCCAUGACAGUUGCCAAGUUGAAGAACGUGUUAUAAGUUCCAAAGUAUAAACAUAAAUGACACAACACACAAGGGAAGGGAUCCAUAUAAAUUGAAGAAUGUGUUAUAAGUUCCAAAGUAUAAACAUAAAUGACACAAUACACAAGGGAAGGGAUCUAUGUACACCUAGCCCAGUUGCACGGAGUGAUAUUCAUUAGUAACAAAUUAGCAAAUAGCUGCCACGGCAGUUGCCAGCUCAUGAUCCCUUAUCUACAGCUGCCACUUGCCGACUUGCCUAGAGCCACCGUGCAUCGAUCGUGGAUGAGAAGGACAAGGAGCUAGAAUUUACCAAUUUACCGUUUCACGCUAGUCGCAGCCAUGGUUCGGAAUUUUUGAUCGAGAUUUCACGAUUUUUCAGUUCUAGUUCUAUCCGUGACCUCUAGUAAAUACGUGUAGUGGUGAUUUUGUUUUUUGUUCGGAUGAUUUUCAUUUAGAUUUUCAAAUUUUAGUUAAAAUUUAUGCAAAAUUUCAAAAACUUCUAACGAAUUUUUAGGCCCCAUUCGUUUUGUUUGAAACGGGGCCGUUCCAGGGCAUCGUUCCACUUCAAUCAAAAAGGGCAUGCAUCGUUCCACCCGAAACAAAACAGAGACGUCGGUAUUCAAAACUGGACUAACGUGGCCAGGAACAAAACCUGAUCCAGCCACUGCCGAAUUUUCGUUCCUGCCAAUCCCCUCUGAUGAGAUCCACGUCGCUCCGAACACCGGGUGGAUGCACCUAAUAAGUGGGGAUAAUUUUUUUUUUCCCUUAACUAUCGUGUUUUUUUUGUUAGGAUGCCAGUUACCAUAGAAGCACAACUGCACAAUAAGCACUUGAAUGAACAAUAAUAAAACAUCCAAGGAAAUUUGUCCUCUCUGAUAGGUGGAGUUCGUAGCUAGAGUCACUAACUGAACAAACCGUGAUUAGAAAGCAUCGAAUGAGAUACUUAAAUAGGUGAUGAUGACACUGAGACGUACGUGUCAUAUGUACGUGCAUCCGUUGUUUCUUCUGGUUACUGCCCGACUAGCUAGUGUUUGCUUCUUAAAUUAAUUCACUGGCUGUUUGUUUUGCAUUAUUGUCUCCUCCAGUUGCAUGGUCUCCUUCUCUAGGAUUUGUUCUUCGUGACCUUGUCGAUUAGAGGAUCGAUAAUUGAAUCCACCUCUCUUUUUAUCUCGUCAACCUGCCAAUAAUAAUGUCAGCGAAGUGAAACACUCAACAAUUAUCCUCUUUAUAUAUAUGCUGAACUAGUCUUUCAAUCCAAGCUUUAGAACGGUCUAGAAUCUUAUGUUACAUAAUAAGUAAAAAAAAGUUGUAAAUAAUUUUAACAUGUACAACUAAUUGAAAUUCAUUAUAUUUAUUCUCCCUCCCUCCCUCCCCCCCAUCUCUCUCUCUCUCUCUUCAUUUUCUAACACAAUACACAUUUGAAUACAUAAUUUGUUUCUUCUUGUGAUAAAUUUGAUAAUUACUCUAUAUGUAAUUUCAUCCUUGGCAUUGCACCUCGUGAGUUUCAAUGCUUUUUUUCGAAACCUUAUAUUAAGUUAUAUCACAUUUUUAUCUCUUGUUGUGACAUUAUAAAUCUAUAUUUGUUUUGUACCUUUUGAUCUUCUUAGUUUGCAAGUUUUUUAUUCACAUGUUAAGUUCAAACUCUCUUCUACCUUACUGAAUGACGUGUGCAGCUCCCCUGCAUAGUUUGGGAAAAAGUUCAAACUCUCUUAUUAUAUCUUUAUUCAUUUUUGUCUUUUACAUUUUAUUAAAAAAAAUCUGUUCUAGGUCUCCACUCUUAGUUACCACAAUGGCAUAAACCAUAUUUUUAGCAACUCUUAAAGGUCUUUCUAAAACUCAUUCUUUAAUCACCAUUUGCAAAAUCAUUUGAAUAAAAGUCGCUUUAUAUAUCCCCUAACUCUUCAACAACUUUUCUAUAUCUUGUGCGCACUCUAAAGAGUCAACCAUGUUGCCCAUCUUUGGCUAGCAUGAAAUCCAAGGUAGAUGAUGGCUAUACUUCGAUAUCUAUUUAGAUAUGUUGUUGGAGGUAGUAGUAUUUUUUUUAUCAAAAUCUCUAUAUUCCUAACAAUUAGGAAGAAUAUAGACAGUCUUUUGGAGUUACUCUAACAACAUACAAAACUUAUUGUCAUAGAGUUUCAUAUAAUUUGGAAUGAACUCUCAAUAUCAUUGUUCUAUUAUGAGAACAUUUCUCACGGUUGAAUAAAUGUAAAAAUUGUAUUUAUUGCUAAUGUAUGCAUCCAUAUUUGGUCUACAUGGCGAGUGGAUUAAUUGUUGGCUUGGCUUAG
rnacentral:lncRNA from 1 species